rnacentral:lncRNA from 1 species
UUGUGUUUGAGUGCAAGUAAUCCAAGAGACCCAAUAACAUUGAGUUUGAGCCCAAUGCCCGGCGGCCCGAGCUCAACAAAUUCCCCAGCUGCCAUACAAGCAUGAAAUCCUGCGUCAUCCAUCAAGUCAGUCCCGCAUCAAGGCCCCGCGAUCAUUUCCUUCUCGGCCAUCCGCCCAGCCAAUCAUCAACAUCCCAAAUAAAUCCACUCCGUCCGCAUCAUCAACGAGUCCUCCUAGCAAGCCACGGAUCACGCCAUCAUCACAGCCGUCCGUUUCAAAGAGUCCCUUUAGCCAUGAAGCCAAAGGUUCAAGCCCCUCCACGCGCCUCCUUCCUUCCGCAACAGCCCAGCUCCUUCCCAAAUCGAGCCAUCUGUACUACGCCCAGCUUCAUCCCGCGGUCCGUGCGAUCCCAGGAGACUCCAGCUCCUCCCAGCGAAUCCCAUUUGCAAGCCGAAAUCCCAGCAACGCCAGAAGAAGGAAAUAGGAAGCAAAUCCCAGCUCUUCCAUGAUCCCGUCGAUCCCGCUUCCAAUCCGGCACCCAAAGAAGGGAAGAUCAGCAAUCCAACGCGUCUCCUCCCUUCCGUUUUUCUUCCUCUUCCGCGUGCAAUCCCGACGAUCAUGCUCCCAGCAAUCCGUGCCUUCCUGCCUUGCAUCCACGGUCAACUCCUCACAGCAUCCCGUGAAGGAAAUCCACGGAUCUCACGCUCGUCUACCCUCUUCCUCCUCCCAAUGAUUCCGCGAGUGAGCCCAAGCAUCGAUCCAGCCGGCCGUGAUUCUCCAGCAAAUCGCAGCAUCACGUCCGCAAUCGCCCGUUGAUCCCGUGAUCGGCUCCUCCCAGCAGCCCCUCAUGCCAUUUCUUCCACUCGUCUGCGUUCAUCACAAAAGACCGCAUCCUCCCAGCAGUCCGUGAUCAACGUUCCCCGAGAUCCCAAGCGCCCAUUUUCCAUGUGGCUGAUCUCUAGUGGGGACCUAUAAAAGGGANNNNNNNNNNNNNNNNNNNNGGGAGGGGGGGAGGAGGAGCUCGGUUGGGGUGGAGGCCAAGAGAGGAGAGCUUGGAGAGGUGGGUGGCCGGCGGGUCCACAGAAAAGAGAAGAACAGGGGAGCGGGCUCGGUUUGGGAGAGAAAAAAAAAAAAUCAAACAGAGCAUGGCUCUGUUUUGUGAAAAGAAAGAAUAAAAAAUUAGGGAAGGAAGGGGAGUUUUCUUAUUUUUCUUUGGUUUUUAUGUUUUAUUUUGUAGAAGGAGGAAGUACUAGACUUCCAAACUUCAUUUUAUUUCUUUUGUAAUUAUCCUUUUUAUGCAAUCAGUACAUUUAUUUUUCAUGCAAUCCUUGUUCUAGGUUCAAGUUAAUUUUUUUUAAUGCAAUCUUUUAAUUCUUCUUUGAUGCAAUACAUUAAAUUUUCUUUGAUGCAAUUUAUGUUCUAGGCUUUUGAUCUUCUUAGCACUUGUCUUCAUCCAUUUUAAUUUAUGCAAAAAUUUUCUUUUAAAUGGUUAAACAUUUCAUGAAUUCAUAAAUACUCUUUGAUUUCUAAGUACUUGUCUUUUUAUUAUUUUUAAAUAAAAAAAUUAUUCUCCGGUAGACUAGAGAAUCCAUCAACAUCCUCAAAAUAAUAUUUUUCUUUUAUCAUUCAAAAAUCGAUUUCAAAUCCGAGUGAACGUUCUAAUUUUUAUGCAACUCCAAUCGCCUCCCUGUGGAUCGACCUCUUACAACCACUAUUCUUCGAGUAGGAAAGGUAAGAGUAGAAAAUUNNNNNNNNNNNNNNNNNNNNNNNNNNNNNNNNNNNNNNNNNNNNNNNNNNNNNNNNNNNNNNNNNNGUUAGACAGGAAAGGACGAACAGGUAGGCUAGAUCUAAUCUAACAGAGCAAGAAUAAAAGGAUUGAGGGCUUACCUAGCUGAGGAAGAGAUGGGGAGCUUCUUUCGGUAGCUUGUGCCGCUUCCUCCAGCGGCUCAGCGGUGGAUCCAAGGAAAAGCAUGAAGAAAAGAGGCAUUAAGGAGGGAAAGAUGCCUCAAUGAAGAACUCCUUCGGCUUUUAUAACCUGCUUCGGGGAAGAGGAGAGGAAGAUCGACCGUAUCCGCAGCUGGUAGGCGGUUAUAACCGCCUCGCAGGCUAUUCCAGAUGGGCCGCAGACUAUGAUCUCAGUCGGCCCAUCUGGCCCGGUAUUUACAAUUAUGGUCUAAAAAUAAAAAAGUAGAAAAGAUAAAAAAGAAAAAUAGAGAACGGUAUAAUAGGGAGAAGCCAACAACUUUUAUGGCAAAUCAUUGUUAAAUAAUUUUGUAGUAAAUUUCUUCCCUCCUUUUUUUUGUGGAUGAACUCCAAUGUUUUCUGAUGUUAUUACCCAUCUAUAGGUUACCAUUAAGGCUGCUAAUGGGUCGGGUUGACCCCUGAUCCGACCUGCGUAGAUUCGACUCGAUUCGAAUUUUAGGACCUGCAGGUCUGGGUCAUGUCCUAAAAUUGGACCCAAAUCAUUUUUUGGGUCAGAUCUGGAUUUACCGAAAGGAUCUGAUCCGACCCGAAUGGACCCGAAGAGAGAGAGGAGUAAAAGCCCUAAGGGGAGUAGGUUCAAGCGUGGAAGGAUAGCAACAAGCAUAGGUUCACAGAAUCCAAAGGAACCUCGGCCCGUCGGGAUUCUCUCUUGAUCUAUUACACUGUUGAUACCUCUGGUGUCGCGGUAGCGGGUCUUUUUUUUUUCCUUCUGUUUUUUGGUUUUUGUUUUUUUAACUUUUGAAGAGAGAAAGUGAGGGAACACUGAACUGAAUAUGGAUCAUGUGCUAGUUUUCUGCAAUGGAAUUGGAUUUUGGAAGAAGGUCUGGGAUUUUUUUUGUCCUCGUGAGAGGGGAGCUGGGAGACACCAAGUUCCGUCCAACCAGUCAUAUAGAUAAAAAAUAGUGUGAUAUGAAAUUUGGCUUGUAGACCGACUUAGUUAGUAAGUCAGGGUCAUCUGUUCUAACUGGAGGUCAAUUGCAAGUCAUUCAAGUCAUGGGUCACCCAGCACCUCAUAAUUAUGAUAUGACCAAAUUAGAUUUGCCCAAAUUUUUUCCCAAAAGCGCAAAGAAAAUGGACCCAAUUCGAACCGAACCCGAUCCGAACCCGACUCGGACCCGACUUGAACUUCAACCGGAUCAGAUCUGGGUCCAAAAUUAGGAUCCGAACAAAAAAUUGGAUCGGAUCGGGAUCACUCAGGAUCUGACCCGACCCGACCUAUUUGCACCCUUAGUUACCAUAUCAUUGUAUUUUUUUUAAUAUUUUAUCAUUGUUUUUAAGCGUUGGUAUGUCCUCUUAUACUUCUGGACGGGGGUUAUGUCUUUGGAAAAAAAAAGGGUUCAUCUUUCUUCGUGUGAAUCUACUAUUAGAUUAGGCAAUAACUAUUUCAAGAUCGAUGUAGAUGAAUGAAGGAAAAGAUUGGAGUACUUUGAGAGCUGUGCAAUGCGUGGUCCAAUGGACAAUGCUAGGAAAGAAAAACAAACAUUCUUUUAUGGGAAAGAUACAAUCCGGCAUCUCUGCUAUUUUGAACAACCAAUUAUAGAAUUUUGAUUCAGUACCUCAAAAAUUUUACCCAGCACUCGAUAUAUUCUGAGAGGGGUAUUUUAUGAAAAAAAGGAACCGAUAAAGAAGUGCAAGAAUCAGGCAUUGCAAGUAUUGAUGGCCCAGAAGAAGCAGUACUGUAGCAUGCCGAAGUACUCUGGAAAAAAAAAAGAAGCUCUUUUUUGAACUAAACUCUAGAUUUAAAUAAAAUUGCAAGGACGCCGUUCAACUCGGGUUGUUUACAAGACAAACAAGUAAUCAAGGACAAAGCUGAAUUUAAUUUGAACGGUUAGAUUAUAUUCUUUUAUUAUUUCAUUAUUUUUUUAUUGGAUAAAUCUUUUUGGGUAUCCAAUCAGCCCUCUCAACUUUAAUGUCUUCCUUCCAGGCUUUUGCUGCCGCUUGCUGAUCGCUUUCUUGAUCAAGAAUGCCGAGAAAAUGCGAACCCGGCAAGGGCAUAAAACUAUGGAAAGUAGCUGCUGAGCUUUGAAACCUGUUACCAUUUGAGGUGGAGACGACCGAGGGUCUUCUCUACUCGUCGAGACAGCAGGACCAAUCGUAUUAAUAAUUGGUCGAGAAGGUAUUAUAUAAAUUUCUUUACUUUGUGUAGGUAUCCAAGAUGUAUUAUUUGGAUUCUUUUGUUCCGUAUGGAUAUCCAAGUUCUAGCCAAUGCAUAGCCGAUAUGGGGUCCUGAUCUAUUCAAAUAUAAUCAUAAGCAUUUUGAUUGACUUAUGGUCAGCCCUAAUAGACCCAUGCUUCAGCAUCCCUUAGUCCAUAUAGACCAUAGGCUGAAUCCGCUCUGAUAUUAUUUGCGACAAUUUAGAAUUUUAUCUAGGAAUGCUAGAUAAAAGGUAUCAUUUAGUUUCUUUGGCUCUGUACAAGUACUUAACUGUUGUGGGACUAACUACACAUAUGAAAUAAAACAUAUAAUCCAAAAUUCAAACCAGUGUCCCUUAUCUAGAUUGCAAGCUCUCAACAACUAAACCACAACUUGUAAUAUUAUACUUUACGAGGUAAUUUCUUAUAUAAAUUUUCUAUUAUACGCUUCAUGCUAUUGUAGGCAAUAUCCUAUAGUAUGGCAAGAAACAAAUGUACGAGGAUAGCUGAUAUCAAACACUCAGUAAACGACGUCGCAAGAUUUGAUCCAAGAGUGAAGAUGGGAGCCCAAUUUGCAUGCAUGUGCUAGCUAAUCACACUCAUGCUCUAACCAUUGCUUGUGUUCAUCUGCAAAUUCAUAGACAUAUUGGGGAAUGUUGUACGCUAGCUGGUAAGCCUUUGUGAACUUCUCUAUAAUUUCUUCUUUUUUUUCCUUCAAAAACAGUUUGAGUUCCAUUCACAUAGCGGUGGCAAUCGGAUUGGACUGGAUAGGAUACGGAUUAGGUUUGAUACAAGAUAGAUCAAAAAUCUGUUAACUCGAACUUGACUUGUUUAGCAAACGGAUCCACAAUCUACAUCUAAACCUUACCAUUUUAUUAAAUAGAUAAAGUAAGCCGAUCUAUAAUGGUUUGAAUCAAAGAUAAACAGACUAAAUAGUUAAGCAUUGUCAUCCUUAUAUUCAUGCACUAAUUCCUGUGGGUAUUUAUUUAUAUGUUUGCCUCCUUGGUACCUUUCAUGGUUCAUUGACUGUCAUGAAGUUUUAAACAUGUCACAGCUAGCAUAUCAAGUAUCAUUUGUACAACUUAAAAAGGAUUUUUAAAGGCAGCAGCAUAGCUAGUACAAGUUUUCGGAGAAUGCUACAUGAGUGGUUCAAGGAAUCACCAGAGCCAUGAGAAGGCAACGAACCCUUCAAUGGAACUUGAGGCUGGUCAAGAGGUUGUUGUUCACUGGGUCAGCCAAGUGAUCCAAGAGGUUCUGGAAGGGUCCAACACCAGUCACAAGGGCCUGAACAAAGUAGCCCACGAUGGCCAGCAUGGCCAGCCUUCCAUUCUUCACCUCCUUGAGCUUCAGAUCCUUCAUGGACUUCUCAUCCUUCCCCAAUCCCAGAGGGUUGAACAAAGGUCCCCCAGGGUAAGGAGGGUCCCCUGAGCCCCCCAGAUACUUCUCCAAGCCUAGGAAGUACUGCUUCCCCAAGCACCCUGGCCUAACCCAGUCCUGGAAUCUCCGGUGCUCGGCGAAGCCCAUGAGCGCCAACUCGAACACAAAGAGAGUGUAAGGAUCGGCCCAGUAGUUGUAGGUUCCGGCUGGUGGAAUGACGCCAGUCUUGAACCAAGGGAGAGCAGUCUCAGGUGGGAUCAGACCAAGCUUUCCAAGGAUCUCGGGUGCAAUUGCUCCUACUGCACCCAGCAUGGCAUACCUUCCAUUGAUGACCUCGCCGUAGGCUAGCCAUUUCGGCUCCAUGAAUCCUCCGGGGCCUUCCGGGUCCGAUAGGCCCAGUGGGUCGAAGCCAUAGUCACCUGGAAGGCUGCAAAGGUGGUUGUGGGAGACAUGAGAUUAGCUUCCGUAAGUUAUGGACUCAGUGCUUGCCAGAAGCUAAUUUUCAGUAGCUGGUUGGUAUGAAUCCUAGAUUACCUUCCAUCCAAGUAAGAGAGAGAUUGUUUUGAUGCAAACCAGAGCUGUCUGUCUGCUCCUUGCUGCACCAUAAAAUUCAUGUCAGCAAAGGAUAAGAAAUGGCAAUUGAAAGGAGAUAUGAAACUGAAUGAAGCCUGCAAGUGAUCAGUAGAAGCUCUUCUGCUUUCAGAUUGCUAUUCAUGGGCAUCAGAUCGAGCAUGCUGUGCUCGGUCCUGGUUAACCGACUACAUUGACUUCAUAGUUAUUUAUCAAUGAAAAAAAAUAUGAUAUUUUUAAUUCAAUUCUGAUGCAGUCCAAUCUAGUGCAAAAACUUUCCAUCUAUAGAACCAUUCAGAAGAAGUUGAUGAUACCAUGUACUCCAUGAGGAUGUAUUUGUGAUCCAGCAUUUUGGAUUGAAGUGUUUCAUGAAAUUAGUAUAUAUGGAAAAUUAAACUUGACAGUCCGAAGGAAGUACACUAGGGCAAUGGAUGAGUUGAAGUCCACUGACCUUAACAGGUGGUGUUGAACUUGCUCUAACAGCAAAUGAAGCCUUUCUUGGAGAGCCAGCAGACCUGGUGGCAGUAGAAUAUUGAAGGGGCUUUCCUCCAAGGAGUUGUCUUCCAGCUUCCACUGAAGAGAGAAGAGCUUGAGUUGCCAUUGCCAUUCCUCUUUCCCCUCCCUCUUUCUUCUAGUUUCCGAAUGGUUUGGGGAUGUUCGAUGUGUUUGUUGGAAGAGAAACCAGCUGGAGAGAGCAAAAUAGACUUGUCUGAAGUGGUGGCGUGGGGGCAUGGGAAUCUAAAUGGGGCAUCUGGUGAACUUUGGAAAGAUGAGGCUUGAUCAGGAUGCCCAAUAGAACUGUGACACGUGACAUGGUCACCAGAUAAGGUGAUCUUGUGGUUGUGGGCUCGAGUUGUGUGCGCCAAGUGGAAGGUUCUCACCCAUUUGCUGAGAUCCUGCUGCAGAGCCUUGGGGUGGACGAGGGGCUAAUAUUCUCUUGAAGAUUUGUGGAGCACAAGAAGGGGCCAGAAGAUUCGACAUCCAACUAUCAGAGUCAUUGUUCAUUUGCUUCUGAAAUAGAUAAAAAUGGUAGUGGCGAGCUCUACUAUAAAUACUUCUUGAACCCAAUUUCAAACCGUGCUAUGAAAUGGUGCAAAGAUUGGGUUCAUGUAUAAACAUAGCGAGAGUUUGCGACUUAAGGGAUUUCAAUUUUUCUCCAAAAAAAUUCUCCUAAAUUUUGCGAGGAUUGGUCAGACUAAAUAAAAAUAUGAGAUCUAUCUCGGGAUAACUCGCCACCCGUAAUGAAGGUAGUUUGACUUCCAGUGGGAGUACUGCUUCUCCUCCGAACACCAAUGAGUAUGGGGUCAUUUGCUACUCGGCUCCCCGGUCCUAGAACUAGAAAUAAAUAAACGUACUCCUCAAUUGACUCAAAACUCCAAUAGGAACUCAAGCUCAAAUUGAUGUAUUGUUCCAACUAGACCGAGGUAUGGCAUUAGAAGGACCUUGGCAACGUGCAAAAUGUCCAUCCCGAGAAUGAUUUGGAAGUCGUCCAGUUGAGCAGCCAUUAGAUUAGUCAUGCCUGACCAAGCAUCGACCUUAAUCAGCACUUCCUUAGCCAACCCGAUGAUAGACGAGUCCCUGUGUUUACAGCUUUCAGUACAGCUGUUAUAAGCUACAGCCGCUAGACAACUACAGAAUUUUGGGGGCGAUUAGCUAUAGAGCAGAUCGUUACCGAGAGUUUGCGACUUAAGGGAUUUCAAUUUUUCUCCAAAAAAAUUCUCCUAGAUUUUGCAAGGAUUGGUCAGACUAAAUAAAAAUAUGAGAUCUAUCUUGGGGUAACUAGAUAUUGUUAUAUUAUGGAUUAUGAUUGUCAACUUGUACAUAUAUAAUCUAGAUAUCGUAAUUAAAAUAUGGUGAUAAUGGUAAUGUAUUAUCAUCAAUAAUGGUUCAUUUAAUGGUUAGAUUGAUUCUGAAACAAAGGCACCGAUUCCCUUCCACUAAUUUUUCCAUUUACUUUAGCAGUUCUCAUAAUAUUUCUGAAGAGAUUAUUGAAUAAAACACCAGGAAAGAGAAUAAAAAGAAAUACUCAACAUUUUCAUUUACCAAUACAUUUUCUUUUUUUAUAAGAAGUGAUGAGCUACACAUCAGAGGCAGCCCUCUUCCAAAUGCUCCUAACUGAUGGAUACUUGCUAUAUAUACAAAAACUGAAGGGCACUUAAUUUCUUUGUAUGAUAUAUAUGCUGCUUGUACCAUGAAACGUUACAGUUUAUAUGCUCACAAUACAAAAGGAGAAACUUAACAUGAGCACAAUAUUUUGCAUCUAACAGGCCAUCAUGUGAGAGAGUUCAGACGAAGGCCAUCUGCCAUAUGGCCCUCAUGCUCAGCCCAAGCUAGAAUUGACCAGACUUCAAUUGUUCAAAAAAGCAGCUCAAACAAGGAAAUACCAAUCCGUAGAAUCUCACCUUAUCUACAUAUAUUGACAUGAACUUCAAGUACCAAAGAGACCUAGUAUCUGUUUACAGCAUAGAUAAUAAAGAAAUGGUCAUGAAUGCUCCUUGAGUUGCAUCUUUCAGGCAUCGUCCAAGACUAGUAUUCCAAUGGUAGUAAUGUUAAGAAUAGAAAAAAGGGGGGAAAAGAAAAACCAGCAGUCUCAUGAAACAAGGUUGACUGUCAUGACCAAAAAGUACAGGGUAUUGUAGUUAUAUCAGCUUGAAGCAAUCUGUGUAUGCUUCAAGUAAUCAAAUCAGUAUGGGAGAGUAACAAUGGUAACAUCUAUUAUAAAUCCCAUGGUUGUUAACCAUGGAAGAGUUCGAAAAAACAGUAAGAUAAUCUUUUCCUUUUUCUUCAAAAAAAAGAAGAAGAUGAUGAUGAGACUGAUCAAAUUCCAUGCGACCAACUCAGGAAAAUAAGCAUUUAAUCGCAUUUAAUCUCUUUAUAUCAUCGUCUGAUAGAUCUAAUCCAUACUAAAUGAAAGUUCUUCCACAUAGUAUUAAACUGCCCGAGUCUAUUCUCUGUUUCUGCCUAAACCUCUCAAAGAGGUGAUCUUCGCCAAUUUGAAGUUGUACAUAGUCAUCCAAGUCAAAUAAAUAUUCUUUUGGUCUGGUAACAAAGCAGCUACUAUGAAGGCUUCCUACUCCAGAUAUGCUGCUGCCUGCAAAGUCUCCAAGAACAACCGAGCAGCUGCUAUUAACUUCAGGACUCCAGCUACCAAGACUGCUUCUUAAAUAAUUAGUGUCAUCGCAUGCACCAUUUGCUUCCUGAAACCCCAAGACAUCAAGAUGUUGUUUAUUUGCAUACCAUACACAACAGGACUUAGGUCAAAUUAGUUCAAAAAUAGGUGGAAGACAACACUUUUUGUUAGGUAAGAUAUUUGCUAGCAAGACUGAAGCAGAAAAAACAACAUGAAACUGGAGAGAAACAAUAUGCAGGAUUCUGCAAGUACCACCAGAUCAAAACCAGAGGCAAGGAAAGGAUGACAAAGUACGGCAUGAUCCAAAGAUAUUAAAAUCACAAGACUCCGACCUGGAGUCACAUGAAGUAAGUUCCAAGUAUAACCAUCUAUAUGACAUUCGCUUGCCAAGAACCCGGAGCAAUCAAAUGCGCAGCAAGAUGGCAUAAGGUAAUGCUGGACCAUGUGAUCUGUGCUGCAUUUCCUUAUGCGAGUAAUUCUGAGAAUCCAUUUUGCACGCAUGCACACACGUAUCAUUUAAUUGUAAAAAUCUCAUGCAUAAAUAAGAGAGAAUAUCCAUACAACAAAAGAAGUGAAACACAUAGACACACAAAAACAAAUGCACACACAAGCACACUAAUCAUCUAAUUGUAAAAAUUUCAUGCAUAAAAAAGAGAGAAUAUCCAUAUGCAAAUGAAGUGAAAUGAAAAGCAGGAGCUUUGCCAACUCAACAAGCUGUCAUCCCCCUCCCAACCCCCAGGGCAAGGAAAAGGGACUUGAUCAUUAUUGUUGAUAUAUAUUGUUUAUAAUUUUGAAAAUAUAUGGGAAUAAAAAGAAAAUUGCACAAUUGGCAUGCAAUGUGCAACCAAACUCAUGAUAACAGUGCACAAAAAAGGCAGCAUUUUGCACUUAUAGUGCCAUUAAUUUUUGCAGAUUAAAAGCCACGAAUUUGCUGAAUAUUGUGAACUUGCAGAACAAAGGUCUUUGAACCGUUUGAACUGAACAGAUGAACCUAUAAUUCUGGGAAAGUAGGAGUUCUCCUGAUGAUGUGUAGAGUAAGUGAGAAACUGCUGUAGACUUAUUUGCUAAAAAGAUGUUAAGUGAAAUGAGCAGGAAAUGAAGAAAAAGAAAAAGCUACAACAUACUAAAUUUGGAAAGAAAUUAGAUGUUCAUGGUGCUUAGUACAUCAGGCAUUUGUUGCACUUUGUCCAAUUUCUAUGAUAUCACUUCCAUCAUCACAAGAAGAGUUUUCUAAAAGAAAAAGGGGAAUAAUAAAAGAUGAUUAUCCAAGCAGAUCCAUUAGCUUGCAACAUCACUUUCAAAAUUACAUAGUGAAUAGACAAAUGCUUGUAGGGAAUGCGCAUAUUGAUAGUUACCUUUAGUUCAGGAGACAGCUUAUUUCCUGGAACCACUGAGAAGAUCUUGCCUUGGCUUGAUGUUGGUGAACCAUCAUUACUAGUUUCCCAAUGCAGCCAAGGAAGUACAACCCCGUCUGUUUCAACAGGCACGGAAGCAUCUCCUGUCAAAAUUUCAUGAGUUUCUGCUAGAGUAUUAUGCAUAAUGAAAUCUCUGAUCUUUGCGCUCCCUCCAAUAGUAGAACUUGUUUCGCUUCUUUCUCCAUCAUAGGAUGAAAUAUCUGUGUCUUCAACGUUUAAUAGAAAAUCCUCGAUAUAUCUCCCUGCCUCUUCAGUCAAAUAUUUGGAUGUCCUAGUUCUGUCAUUGCUCAGCUGGAACAUGAAUCCAUGAAAGGAGGAAAAAGAAUGAAAACCUGAAAUAAUAUCAGCACACUAAAAGGAAGCAUGACAGCAAGCUUACUCUUCUGGACCAUGAUGGACUCUUCAGUACAGAUGUUUGUUUUGAAACAGGAAGUAACUCUCUAACAGCGCUAGUGAGCUCCUGAUCACAUUGCUCCUUAACUGAUAAUUCAGCCAACAAGUCCAAGGUACGUUUCUCUGACUGAAAAGCAAAAACAAGGUGAAUAUUUAUUUGCCUCAAGUAUAAUGUAAUAAAGUAAUUGCCAUAAAAAUAAGGAGGUUCACAAGAAAUGGCUACAUCCAAAAGGUAUAUCUCAACAAACCGUUAACAUUACAAACACGUGAAAGAAAUAAUUAUUCACAGAUAAACAAAAAGAUCCGAAUUACAGAUAAUUAUUGAUGCGAGAAGCUGAAUGUCAACCUGCACGACUAAAUGAAAUAUUAUUUUCUCAAGCAUGGUAAGCAAUGAAAGCAUGCAACAAGUAAUGGAAAAGCCAAAAAAGAAAAAGAUUUUAUGAAACAGAAAGGCAGUGCAGAUACGAAACAAAGUCUUAUCCUGGAAUGCCCAGUAUACAUGUAGCUUCAUUGCACUCAAUUUGUCCCAUGAAUUUCUUGUAUAUUUCCCAAAACAUUCCCCAUUUAUUCCCAUGCUGGGGGAAAUUGAAUCUCGUUAACUUUCCAAAUUCUUGGGAAUGUGAUGGCAGAGUGGACAGUGGUCUAGGUGACUAAUGAAACCAUCGAACAGAACCAAAUCAUGAAUCAAAAUAUCAACUAUAAAGCCAAUGAAACUAUUUAAUUCUCAAAAGAAGCAUCCUGAAGGAUUUAGUUAGUUCAUCCAUACCUGCUCCAGUUUGGUUGGGUAAUUUCUUCUGAUCUCAGCAAUAGCUUGAGAAUCAUUUGAGCCAUUUGACAGAUUAUAUUCACCAUUAAACAUGGUUGAGGGCUCUGUUUUCGCUAUCAUCUGCAAACAUAUCAUGUAAAUUGGUAUUAAAUGUAAACAUCUAAAUUUAGCACUUGAGGCACUGGCGAAAACAGCAAAGAUUAUAGAAAUAAUGAGAUGAAUAUAUAAACUAAGAUAUUAUUCCAAAAAAACCCUAAAUUCACCUUUUCAACCUCCAUUCUGAUUUCAUCAACUGCAUGCCUUACUUCUUUACGCAUGAUUUCAUACAAUCUAGUCUCCUUACCAUCCUCAAUAAGGUGUUCUUUCUGAGAGAAGUGAAAUAUAAAGUCACAAUGAAUAGCUUCCUCAAGUGAUAGAACUCUUAACCCCUCUCAAAGUAUUCACAAACACAUAUUUGAGAUAAUCACUCUAAACUAUCUUCCUGGAGCUGUAACAAACCUUUCUCUGGGCAUAAACUGCUUCUAUGGUCUUCUCAGUUGCACUUCUACGUCUAUGACUAUUCCGUGCUUCAUCAUCAGUUAGUGCAGAUGAAUGGCCCUGUAAAAAAGGACAUGUCUUUUCAUGUUUGUUUAGAGGUUCAAGAUGAAUGCACCAAGCCAAAAAAACUAAAUUGUAGUAUGAUAGUAAAAUAUGAGAGCAUUAAGCGGCCAACAUUCUCAACAAAAGCUUCCUUCGGUUUUCUUUUUUUUUUUAGGUUGAAAAGCCUCACUUUGGAAUUAUGUAUGAAAUCAUACCUUUUCUAGAUCUAACAUAUGCACCAUCUCCAAAGAGAAGAACAAGAAUGUGAUUAAAAGAGACUAGAUGCGACUAAUAAAAUGAACAAGCCUUUUCACUACAAAUCUUAUAUCUGUCCCCUUACAACAGAAAGCGUAUGACUGCUUCUACAGUUUUUAUAACAUCAUCAGCAUUCCAAAAGAUGCAUUUUAUGAAAGUGCGUAUAGAAUGAUAUGCCUCUUUGCAGAAUGAAAGCUCAGAAUGCAGAUCUCUAAAAGUGAAGAUGGUCUUAAUAAGAAUGACUUCCUAGCAGAAGCCAUUCAAGCAAACACAUUAAACCAAGGACUCAAGUCCCAGUGGAACAUUCCAUGAGACACCGGGAUGGGGUACCAUCCCAAGUGUCGGGAUAGAACUAUCCCACCAUUGUUGUAGCGGCCCGAUCGGCACGUUUUGGGCCAUCCCCUAUCCCAAGUGUUGGGAUGGGGUGAGGCAGUAAGUAGCACAUCCCGUUCCAUGGGAAAACCACGGCGGCCCCAUUGAACAAGAUUUAAAACCUUGCUUUGAACUUCUACUGCUUAUUUAUGUUUAUCCAUAAUAAGGCCUUAACCUUUUUAACGAAUAUAACUACAUUCUGUUUUGUUAAGUAAUAUCACACCUGAUCAAUCAAACAAACAAAGGUUUGAUGUUCACCAUGAGCAAACUAAACUGCCACCCCUGAUGCAUUUUUGUUUCUAUACUUCUCAAGUAGUGCUUUCCUUUUUGAUGUGGCUGUAUGUGGUCAAAAAGUCUCUGCAUUCAAUUAUUUCAUUUCUAGCUUACCUUGAGGAUAUGUUAGACCCUCGUAAGCUUUGGUUUUUCCUGCAGGUUUUACUGUCAUACAACUUGCCUUUCAUAGAUGAGGACACUAGUCAAUAGGCGUUAAGCAUAAAACCAGGUAACAUGUAGAGAUAGUUUCCAAACCCAUCCAUUGGGGUAAGCCAAGAAUAAUCUUGGUGUAACCUCAAGGGAGGGUUGAGAUCAUGUAAGAGUCAAUCAUGAGCUUUGUUCAAUCCUGUUAUGUAUGACCAGCUAGGAGUUUUAUUCCUUAGCCACCGCCCUGCCUCCCCCAACCCUCCCCACCCCACUUUAAUUGCAGGAGGGCCGACUGUUAUUGUUGUUCUUCUGCUUUCCUUUUUCAAUAAUUACUUAUCAUGAUGGGAAGUUUUGAUUGCAAGGUGUUUUACAUCAUAUCAUCUUCAAAAACAAAGAUAUUAAGAAUCAAAAGCCAUAUUUAAUAACCCAGGACCUCAUCUAUAAAGGCUAGCUAGAAGGUGCUAUUUGGAUUUCUUGCCCUGUAUAAAUAUCCAAAAUCUACUUAGUGCAUAGCUGAUGUGGGACUAAACAUAUACUUGCACGCACAUAUAACCUUUAAGGGUUGAAUUAAUUCACUAUCAAGCAGUUCAGAGAAGGGAAAAAUAAUGUUAUGGGUCCAUCAAACAAGGAUCCAAUUAGCAAUUUCAUUUCAUCCAUGCAUCUAUCUUCACAGAUAUAAUUUUAGGAUUGCUUCUACAAGUCCAAAAGACUUGAUUAGAUCAGUCGAGGUGUGUGUUGGAGCUUGUAAAAGAGAUAAACUUGAGGUGGCCCUGAAGUAUAGUAUCUGAAGGACAGUUAGUAUCCUACAAUAGUCUUUUACAGGGUCAAAAGAAGUUAUAACAAUAUGGCAACAAAGUUAUAAGUGAUUAUGACUUAACAAUCGUAAGAAGCCUUUGCAUUUAUUAACAAACAUCAACAGAAAUUUGACAAACAAGAGUACCUAAAACAUAAGUCUUAGUCCAGAACCUGGUACACAACAGUGCAGCAUCCUCUCAAAGAUCUUAACUUGGAGGGUACCACAUGUUAAAUUCCACCAAAAAAUUCAUACCGUAAUAUGACAGACAAAAAGAGAUCAAUCUCAUAAACAUGGCACUACACUAAAACAGCUUCACGUAAUGACAGACUUCCGAGUUCAUAUGAGGUUCAAGAUCACCAAAAUGAUAACUUUAAGAAGUUGAAACCAUAAACUGAUCGGAUGUACCUCGGAGUCGCUGUACCGAUGACGUGCAGCUGACACGGAGCGCUUCCUCCUAUAUCUGCUCUCAGAAACGCCCUUGCUCCCACCACUGUUUUCCAAAAUGCCCUUUCUUUCCUCUGCCGUUCGGCUGGGGUGCCUCGACACCGACCUCCCCCGCCGGCGGAAUGAGUCCGUCUCUGCCCCGUAGCCAACGCAACCACCCCGUUUGCCGGACCGGACAACCGCCGGCCUCAUUUCCUCGUCCUCCUCCCCUUUGGAUCCAAAGAACUCGUAGGCGAGAUCAUCUAGGCUAAUCUCAGGGAAGCCCGCCCUAUUCACGAACCUAGCCCUCGGCGACAGGAACUCUUCGGAUUCAGGCGGCGGAGGCCGUGGGAACCGGCCGGAGUAGCGGCUGAGGCUCCUCGACUGGCGGUGGCCGCCGCCGCGGCGGUUGGAGGAGCCGGCGUCCUCCGCGGCGCCGCCGAUCGUGGACCUCUUGGUGCCGGAUUUGAAGGCUGCCGAAGCCAUUAAUGGCGAGAGAGGAGGGAAUAAGCAGGGCGGGAGGGUCGGAAUCGAGAGGAGAGAUUAGAAGAGUCGAAAGAGAAGAAGGGGAAGAGCGAGAAAAGAAGGCGGAAGAUCGAAAUUUUGAAAUCCUAACCUCCUUCUAACGUGGAUUUAUAGGUACACUGAAUUUUUUAGAAUACACCUCCACUGUGUUCGCUCUCAUUAAAAAUGAGUCAACGGUAUAUUAUGACUAAAAAAACAGAGAGUACCAAUUUUUAUUUCCUUGUUGAUAUUUCUAAUUUUCUUCGUUAAAAACAAUGUUUUCUGGAUUGUUGAUGAAUUCUUGAAUUUUUCAGCUUUUUUUUCCUUGACCAAAUAUUUUUGAAAAUUCAAUUAUUUAGAAUUACUUCAUUAGUGAUAAAUUACAUUAAAUUUAUCAUUUAUCUAAGGGCUCGUUUGGUUCGUCGGAAAAGAAAGAAGGAAAAGUGGAGUCAACGGAAAAGUAAUGAGAUACCUCUUGUUUGGUUAGAGUUUUCAAAGGAGAGAGACGGAAAAGUUAUAAACCAUGAGAAUAUGAUUUCCACGUUUCAUCGAAAAGUCUUUUUCAUUAGAAAUAUGGAAAAGUUACUUUUCCGUGAGUUGGAAAUCACUCUAUUUUUAUUUUUUCUCAAAAAAGUCUUUCAACAUAAAAAAAAGCAUUAAAAACCUAAUUUUUAUUAAGGGUAUAAUAGGAAUUACAUAUAAUUUUUUCAGGAAAGUGGAUGGUCAACUAAAUAUAAACACUCUGUAAAUCUAUCACUUUUUCAUUGUUAACCAAACACUCUGUAAAUAUAAACACUCUGUCAACUAAAUAUAAACACUCUGUAAAUCUGUCACUUUUUCAUUGUUAACCAAACAUGCCAAAAGUACUUUUCUAGGCAUCCUCUUCUCAGAAAUUUGUUUUCCAGAAAUCAUAUACCUAGGAGGAAAAAUGUUUUCCACGAACCAAACGAGCCUUGAGCGAUUCCUAACUAAAAUAUACUUAGGAGUAACAAAUUAUGAUGGUAUAAAUUGCUGCUGAACCGGCAAAACCUUAUUAUCCAAAAAAAACUUAUAGGAAAAGCAAAAGAAGAAUUGACCUCCUUUUACACCCAUCCAUCAUUGAAUCUACAUAAAUCUUAAAGCACUCCAACUCCAUCAUUCAUCCACUGCACAUAUCUCAAAGGAGCAGUGGAUCAUCCAACGGCAGAGUAGACCGGAUUGCUGCUCUUCUGUUGCUCCAAUAAAAAAAACCAUAGAUCACCGGUUCCUUUUUCCUUGCAGCUACUCAACAUUUUGGAAUGCUAUAUUCCAGCAACUAUCAAUCUCAAAUCCAUUCCUGGCCAUCAAAUCUCUUUGGACACAAUAGAAAUCCUUAGUGAUUCAACCUAGGAUGGGACUACUUGGCUGCUACAUUUUGCUAGAUCAUAUGGAAAGUGUGAAAUAAAAAGCUUUCUAUGUCAAAUUUUGCUAGAUUUUUCAGGCUGGACUUACAGCUUCCAACUAGAAGUGCCAGCUGGCAAUUACCGGUCUAUGUUCUUUACUUUCUCAUACUCCUCUCUAAUUAUAUAAUCUCUUCAAGCUCCUCCCUCUUUUAAAUAUCCCUGCAUGCUGUAACUCAUCUUCAACUCUCUAUCUGCUAUCAAUACUAUUUCCGAUUAAAUAACGUUACUUUUAUUUUGAAUCCUUUCUUGAUGCAUCUCAGUGAAGUUUUCCAUUUUUUUUUUCAAAAUUCCAGACUUGUCUCCAAGGGUGCUUUCAUGCAACAAUCUUUCCCCUUCCCUACCUCAUCUAUAACUAUUUGAGUCCUCCAUUUCCAUUUGAGAGAUUCAUCUACAAGAAAGCUGGGAUCUAGGCUUAAACAUACACUUAGGGGUCCUGAGGGAGGCUACAAAAGAGUAAGCAGAGGAGGGAUAAUGUUGGCAGAGAACAUGUUACAUUCUAGCUGUGGCAAAGAUUGUUAGACAGGGGAGUGCAAAUGUUUAUCUUAUUCUUCCUUCUUUUUUGUAGAAGGAUGGAUGACCCAUCAAUUCGUUACAUGAGAUUUUGAGAUGAACAUAAGAGGGGAAUAGCAAGAAAGAUAUGGUAGUUAGGGAAGAACAUGAAGAUCUAAGAAAAAUAGAAUGAUGCAAGGAUUUGACAAAGGGGACAAGCAUGAUGAUUGGUCAACUUGACAAGACGAAAGUGCUGCAGAAUCUUUCACAACCCCUGGGGAAAGUGACAAAAGCAAAUGGUGAAUGCAUGGCCGCAACCCAGCCAAAAUUUAACAGCAAACGAGCCAUUCCACAGCAGGCUGUAGCUGCAUUUAGACGCCAGUAUGUUACUGGUCUAUGUGUUUGUUUCUUCUCUGCUUCCUUUUCCGAGGGAAUGCUGAUUCAGAACGGCCCUUCCCGAGAAAAAAGCUGAAUGCAUGCGGAUCUCCCAAGGUCUGGCGCGCCCCAGCCCUCACUUGAUUGGCUUUUCAUCUAGUGCAGAUUGGAUAGGUAAUUUAAAAAAAUAUAUAUAGGUAAUUUUUUUAAAAAAUAGCAUUAGGGACAAUAAGGUUGGAUGGAGAUUCAAUAAAAAAAUUAUCGAUCAAUCCGAUCUACUUAUUAAAUAAAUCAAAAUUUUUGAAUCCCACCAAUAGAUAAUCUACUCCGACCCACCGUCUAUGUAACUCAUUCAUUAAACAGUUCAAACUAGAUUAGAUAGAUUAGAUGAAUUUUUAACUAUUUAAGUAGAUCGAAUUAAAUAGGUUAGAAAUAAAUUAAGUUUCAAACAGUUAAAUAGAUUAAAUGGAUCAGAUUAUGACCCAACCUAAUUACUAAACAGAUCAAAUGUUAAAGAUUUAAAUCUGAACCCAACCCAUUUAAUAUAUAGAUUUAAAUGGAUUAGCCUAUUUACGAUCUAAAUUUAUUUAUGUCAAACCGAAAUAUGCUUAAAGCGGGUUAUUCAGAAGUCGGAUUGACGGACCGAAUCACAAAUUACCAUUUUUAUAUCUAGACUGGGUUCCACCUGGUCAGGUUCGUGUUUGUUCAACUCAACAAAAUCAAACUAAGAUCCAGCUUCUGUCUCCAGGACAGGUCGAAACCAGCUUUGAGGCUAUUAUUGGCCAAGGACUCGCUUUGCAUCCCAUGGAAACAAUAUUUCACAUAACCACCAACUUCAUGCAAAGUCUAUAUUUACAGACCCUAAAUACACUUGUGCCAUUGUUCUAUCCGAAAACCUGGUCAACUCUGUUACUAAAAUGACCUUCCUCUAAGCUGCUCUUCUAUAUGAAAAACAGGAACUACAUGUACUUAUCAAGUAUCAGAGUAAGAAAACUCUAAGAACAAAGCUAGGAUUUAUAUCAAUCAGCACAAUUGAAAUGCAAAAAGUUCAAUGCUCCUUCAUAUCUUGCUUCUAUAUCUAACCAACUUUGCUAGUGUUUCUUGAGCAGCCAGUGUUUGGGCAUGAUUAUGCCCAAGCAUCACAGUUCUAAUGCUAAUGCAAGUCCUGCAGAGUUCCUCCCCACUGUCAAAAUGCCCUCCUCUAAGCAACAGCUUAGCUCUGGUCUCCAGCAAUGUGGCCUUGAGCAGUGUCACAUCUUGCCAUGCAUACUCAUCCACCCUCUGGUUCGAAUGCAGCUGCUUCUUCCAGCAUAGCGAGCCAUGCUGCCAAUCUUGUAUCUGGGACACAAAUGAUUUCUCCACCUCCUCGAGCACAUUCGUGCAUACCUUCAGCAGCUCCAGAGCCGAGUUGCACCUCGAGAAGGUCAUGAACGAUCGGAUCGCCAAGGGAAGAGCUGCUUUCUUGAUGAAGAGGACCAUGUCCACUGCCUUCAGCUGGACAAUGGGGGGUUCUGACUUGAACCCAAAGACAAGGAAUGCAGAAGCCCAGAGGUGAUCAGAGUUCAGCAUGGCAUUGCUCGCCUUCCUCACGCCCUCAACCGUGGCCUUGGCCGGCGGCAGCCCACCUCUCCUCUUUGCGAACAUUUGCGUGAUCGGGUGGAAUUGGAUCCAGCAACCCGGGUGCCUCAAGGUUCUCUUUGCCAGGCCAAGUUUAACCAGCGCGAGAGCAGAUUCCACCUCGUUCUUUCGAGAAUGGUGAGCUAAACAGCAGCUGGUGUAGCAGCCCAAGGCCAUGGCAAGACCUUUUCCCCAUUGAUGAAGGCCAUUCUCUUUUGCAGGCAGCUUAUGAGCUGCAGCAGCCAAUAGAUUUGAGGAGACGGGGGCAGGAGCAAUCCAAGCACCGGCAAGAACCAUUCGUGAUGCAAGACUUCUUCCUUUAUCUCUAUCCAAAAUGGCAAAGCAGAACACCAAGACCUUCAUCAGGUAAGGAUUAUUCCUGCAGGAUCCAUCAUCAGUAGAACCCGAACAAAAGAAGUUCUCGCCGAUGGAGAUUCUCUCGAUGGCUUCGAAAAGCGCAGAUGGAGAGAUCGCUAGCUCGGAUAGCAGCGAUCCAAUCACCCACAACCCGAAGCUUAAUCUUCCUAAUCUCUCAUCAAAUUUUCUUAGCACUUCCAGUUCCUCAGCAGGGUAGUCCUUCUUCCGUCUUCCUCUGAUCAGCAGCAUCGAGUCGGCCAAAGAGAGAGGUGGGAGUUGCAUGGGCUCGAAGACCAUCACCUUCGCGAGCCGGGUCGUCACGAUGACAUGGGUAGCUCCGGUGUUCCUUGGAAUGAAAUCAUGUAGGUCCUUUCCUUCCCACCAUUCCUUCUCCGUCUCAAGAUUGUCGAUGACCAGCAAGUAAGGCACAUCUCUGAACAGCUCCCUCUUCAACCUCUGGAAUGCGUCGAACUCUUGCUCAUCGAAGCUCCUUAUCCUCGCUCUUUCCUUCUCAGCUUCGGCGCUGACAUCCAGUCCCAGAUUCAUCGAUAGAUUCAGUAUAUUCUGCCUGAAAUACCUUGCCUCUCCGCCAACCCACAAUACCAUCCUGUAUCUCUGAGAGUAUCUGUGAGCAAAUUCCAGUGCAAGCUCUGUUUUGCCGAUUCCCGAUAUCCCAUUUAUACAUACUACGCUCGCAUUACCAUGACCCUUGCAGCCCCCGCUUCUUGAUUUCUUGUGUUUUGAUCUCUGCUUCUGCAGCCGGCUUCCUUUGCUUGUCGUCUCGAUCGCCGGAUCGAUCCAAGCCUCCAAAGUAGGCUCUUUGCACUUUCUCAUUUCCAAGCUGAUGUAUCUCCCAUUUGUUCUCACUGUAUCACUCUCCUCAUCAGCAAAUCCAUCGGAAAAUCCACGGCUAGCCAGCACAGGCUUUGGACACUCCAUUUCAUGGACAUCGCUGCAUCCAAAGAAGGCAGCUUCGAUCUCUGUCAGCUCCUUCUCCCUCCCAACAAAAUGUCUGUUUCGAGGAAACGGUAAUUCCUCAAAACCUUCAGUCUCCUUCUCGGCGAUGCUAUUCCUUCCAAGCUUUGAUUGCAAGAUGGUGACGGUUUUCGAUACACAACUCCUCCAGUUGCUGUCAUUUGAUUCAAGCUUAAACUCGUUGCUCCUGGUCAUCCCCUCAAAGGCCUCCCUGCAUUCCUUAUCCUCUGACUUCCCAUCGAAAAGACGCCCGAUCUCCGAAAGCUCGGUAUCAAACAAAAGAGGGAUGAGAUUUUUCUUCUGAGCAAAGAAUCUGAUCUCCUCUACGCUGAGAGCAUUAAGAAAGGUUGACGGAGUCACGACAACAACGCCGAAGGUCGCCGCGCAUAUGAUUCGAUCGGCAAUCUCAUGGCUCUGCGUAUCCGAGUACUUCGCUCGAUCAGCAACGAAGGAGGCUAUUCCUUGGAGCUCAAGCUCAGCCUUGAGCCACUUACAGAAGCGAAUGAGAUUAAGGUUUUGACCAUGGAAUCCAAUGUAGACAUCACAGCUGCGGAGCUUCGUAUUGGAGGAAGGGGAGACAGGGCCGCCUUUGGUGAUAGAGAUUCGGGGGACAGGGAAGGAGAAUGAGAUUCGGGCCGCAUCGGAGAACUUCGGCUUCUGAUCACUCGGGUCGAUGGGGAAAUCAUAUCUCUCUGAUGGGGGAGUGUAGGAAGUGCUUGGGAUGUCAUCAGAAUGAGAACCAGAGUAAGAGGUUGGAGAUGGGAGUGUCGCUGAUGGAGUGAUGUUGCUCUCUGGUGGCGGUUCCAAGGCCCUUGGAGAUAUAUAAGGCGAUUGUAAUGCCGAAACAAAUGCAGAGGAAGGUGGGGAGGGGGAGUUCAAGUGCGGAGAGAUUGAAAUGGAAGGAGAGAUGGGAGCAGACUUCUCGCCAUUAUCGGCCGAGGAUCCUGCUAUUUUGAUGGUCAAUGUCCUUGUGUUUGGUUCUGUGGGAUCCUGGAACUCUUCAGCAAUGGGAAGGUCCCGAGGAGCUUCAGGUGGAGAUGGCUCAUCCAUGAAGAAAAUGAAGCUUCGUGGAGGUUAUCAAAAUGUUCUGAGUAUUCCAACAGGCAACAAGAGUAUCUAAAGAAUGAAGAUUGAAGACAAGAAGAAAAAUCACAAGCUACAUCUGUUACUUGAUAAAUUUGAAACAUUUGCAAAGAAAAUCGCUACCUAUGUUCAUUGGAAUGGAAUGUGUGAAAAACCUGAAGAAGCUUCCCUUGGAAUGGAAAAUUUGAUAAAAGCCCACAAACAUGAAGGAAAGGAAGAACUUACUUUGUGUAUUCAUAUCUCAAGCAUGAGAUUCUCAUCUCAAUGGAAUAACUUUGUCUCCAGCUGCUGAAAGUGAGAUUAAAGAUUCAAUAACAGCAUUAUCUGAAGAGGAGACAUUAACCUGAGAUUAUAUCUCCUCUGCCCAUGCCUCCUUUUGUUGCAACACAUGGAAAGAUCUAAGCUUUUGUCCCUACAAAAAUGGAUGAUAAAAGGUGGUGGCCCAUAAACACCAAUCAAAUGAGAAAAAAACGGUGCAGUUCCCAGACUAAUGUCCACUGAGGAGAAAUAAGAGCAAGGUUAGAAAAAGAGAAGCUAAAACAAGAUCAUCUGAACCAAGACACAGGAGAACAACACAUUCGGAGGAAGGCACAGGAGAAGCAUAUAUUUUCCCAAAAAUCAGACUGCUAUUGAGGGGAAACCAAAGAGAGGUAGAACCGUAGAAGAGGGUGGCCUUAACCAAAGCCCAUGAGUUGUUAAUCUCAAGAGAAAUGGAAUCUGAUGCAUGGGUUUGGUCAGCUAGAUGUUGUGGUAUUUAUAUAAUAUUAUACAUUUCAACAUUGUGUUUUGAAAGGGAGGCUGCAGAUCUUGUGUUUUGAACAGUGAUAGUUCCCUGUCUCUGCCUUUGUUUUCUGUGUUGGGUGCUUUAUUUUGCGCUGUUCCAAGCUGGGUCCUCACAGGAAAUAAAGGGGAGGGCUGGUAAAAGGGCAUUGGGAAGGGAACCAGACCUCAGUUCUCGUUGGUUGGGGAGCUUCAAAUGGCCAAAAGAAGACAAGCUAUAAUAUUGGUUGGGGGAGCUUCAGCAUUGUACUCAUCUGCCAUUGGGUUUUGUACUGGAAUUUGGAGCAAAGACCAGUCCAACUGCAACAUCAAAGAAGGUAGGAGUCCUUUAGACAAAAAAAAAAGAAGGUAGGGGUCCAGCAUUCAAAAAUUCACACUAAAACUCCCCCUCCCUGAGUCUGACCACGUUAAAGGCUUGGCAGGCUGGGGACCGGCUAAAGGCCAGCUAUUUUGCAUUCCCCUCCCUUGGUCGCAGCAUGACUCGUUUUUGACCAAGUGGUGCAGAGACCACUGGGCUCACCAGUCACCAGUGCCAUGAUGAAAUCCAAGUAAAAUCCAAGUAAAAUCCAAGUAUCUGUUAUUGUAGCAGGAGAAAGUUAAAUGCUUGUUUAGACUGAAAAGCUAGCACUCACUCAAUAUAAUUGAAGUUGGACUGCACAUUUUACAUUUGCUCAAAAAAAAAGUAAAAAAAAAAACAGUCAUUUUUAUUAUUAUGGAACCAAAAUAUAUCACCCUGUAGGGUGUUCAAGAAAAAAAUGAUGGUUGAUCCACUUUGGUUGUUAAAAAUCUAAUAAAUGUUGAAAAUUGGGAUGCUAAUAUAAAACUGACCUCCUAGCCGGAUUUGGUUUUGCAACUUUUUGCCAGCCAUAUUACCAAAACAUUUUCUAUUUGAUAUUUUGAUGCAAGGGGGCACAGCACAUUAUUAGGGUUUCCCGGCCUUGUGUUUAGGAAACCAAGUUAAAUAUCAAAAUAAUAGAAUUUCUUGUUCCCAGAAAAAAAAUUGCAGCCCAANNNNNNNNNNNNNNNNNNNNNNNNNNNNNNNNNNNNNNNNNNNNNNNNNNNNNNNNNNNNNNNNNNNNNNNNNNNNNNNNNNNNNNNNNNNNNNNNNNNNNNNNNNNNNNNNNNNNNNNNNNNNNNNNNNNNNNNNNNNNNNNNNNNNNNNNNNNNNNNNNNNNNNNNNNNNNNNNNNNNNNNNNNNNNNNNNNNNNNNNNNNNNNNNNNNNNNNNNNNNNNNNNNNNNNNNNNNNNNNNNNNNNNNNNNNNNNNNNNNNNNNNNNNNNNNNNNNNNNNNNNNNNNNNNNNNNNNNNNNNNNNNNNNNNNNNNNNNNNNNNNNNNNNNNNNNNNNNNNNNNNNNNNNNNNNNNNNNNNNNNNNNNNNNNNNNNNNNNNNNNNNNNNNNNNNNNNNNNNNNNNNNNNNNNNNNNNNNNNNNNNNNNNNNNNNNNNNNNNNNNNNNNNNNNNNNNNNNNNNNNNNNNNNNNNNNNNNNNNNNNNNNNNNNNNNNNNNNNNNNNNNNNNNNNNNNNNNNNNNNNNNNNNNNNNNNNNNNNNNNNNNNNNNNNNNNNNNNNNNNNNNNNNNNNNNNNNNNNNNNNNNNNNNNNNNNNNNNNNNNNNNNNNNNNNNNNNNNNNNNNNNNNNNNNNNNNNNNNNNNNNNNNNNNNNNNNNNNNNNNNNNNNNNNNNNNNNNNNNNNNNNNNNNNNNNNNNNNNNNNNNNNNNNNNNNNNNNNNNNNNNNNNNNNNNNNNNNNNNNNNNNNNNNNNNNNNNNNNNNNNGGAGGGUUGAGAGGGUGAGUUAAUGUGGGAUUGUAAAAAGACAUAAAUACCCUUAGCAGUCAUAAAAAGUAAGGGUAUUUUUUGUCCAAUGAAAAAUGAGUAGAUUGAUAAUCUACCAUAACAGAGAGUAGGUUAUCAAUCCCCUAUAUAUAUAUAUUAGUCAAUCUUGCACUGCUUGGUGUCUGACCACCUCGGAAAGCCUAGAUAGCCCCUCCCUCUUCCCCAGACAUCUUUUUUUUUCGUCCCAAUAAUUUCAAAUUCUAAAUUUUUUAAAUUUUGAAAAGUCAAAGUUACACAAGCCUUCCACAUGGCAGCUAUAACUUAAUACACUUAGGGUACAAUUGGUUCGUGUCUAGAACUGGAAUAGGAAUGAAUUGAAAUGGCUAUAUUCUCCGAUAUAUUUUGUUCGCGACCGAAAUUGGAAUCGGAAUUGAAAUAAGAUUUAAAUAUCAGGAGGGAGUAGGAAUUGAAUUUUAGAAAAUUUGAAUAUUUUUAUUUUUUUUUAGAAUCGGAGGAAUGAGACUCCCCCAACUAAAUAGUUGGAAUGGGAGUUAUUUCUAUUCUCGUUCCAUAGUCCAACUCCUUUCAACCAAACAUAUCUUUAAUGUUUACUUUUUAUUUAUUUAUUUAUUUUUAAAUGAGGGGACAGGAUGUUCUUCUUCGCUGAUCCAGCAAAACCAUCUCCCACAAAUCCAGCACUGGGGUCAUCCACCUGCUUUCCGGUCAAAGUGGAAUGGAAGAUGUCUCCUUUAAAUAAUGUGUUGCCAACCAUUAAGAUCCCUUUUCGAGCCAUGAAAGGUCCAAUCACACUCUCUCAUGUAGUCAUGUGACAUCCUCUAAUAUAGGGGUCCAAGUUUCUUCCCCUUCAAAGCCUCUAGCUCAACGCAAGGGACCAAAAGCCACCAAGCAAUGACCGUCCUUAAACGAAAGGUUGUUUGAAUAUACUCCUAAUAUCAGUUCUGACUUCGUAAUCUAACCACUACCUUCUAAUAUUUAUGACAAAAAUUUCACCUAAACUAUUUUAUAGGAGGAUAUAUGCAAUAAAAGUACUGGUGAUUAAAGUAGAAAUUAGAAUGAUUGUUUGCAUAAUGAAAGAGCAGCAGUGAUCAGUAUGUCCACACAAAGCUCUAGAUUUGUCCGUUGGUUUUGCAUAAAUUUUUAGAUUUUUUAUUUUUUGGUACAAUGGUUGUUCAUGCUGAUCUUGUAUGAGUACAGCUAGCAAAGUCAUAAAAAAAAAUUGGGGCGAAGAGAGGAGGAACAGACACAUGACUCUCCUAAAGACCCUUCCGAGUGUUGAGCAGUAAAGAAAGCAACUCAGUCAGCAACCCUAUUCGACUUUUGGUAGAUAUGAGCGGCCUGAAAGGAGCUAUAAUCUCUCACCAGCCUGCAUAUGUCACAAUACAAUGGCUGUCCGUCUCCAUUCCUAUACUCGUCUUGAAUCCACUUGAUCGCAAUGGUAAAGUCUUCUUCCAGAUAAACUUUGCGGUUUGCUUAUAUGCAAGAGUUUCUUAAGGGCCAAUAUGGGAGAAAUAAUAAACAAAAUUGAAGGGGACCAGAGAGAGAUUGCAAACUAUUAUAUAUCAUUCAAUUAUCCAAGCUGAUGUUACCAAUGACUCUGCAGCAAAUGGUGCCCCGAGAAACCGACAGGAUGCAUAUUUUGAGACAAAUAGUAAGGUAAUAUGUGGCACUAAGUACUAAAAGCAGAGGUGAGUGGGAGAAAAAAAAUGAGUCAUACUAAUUUGAAGAAUAUAAUUGGCAUGUAGAGACUUAUUUCUUUCACAUUGUCACAAACAACAUAACCUCACCCAUGGUCCUCCUAUAGAUGAUUUUGAAACUUGGCUGCUCACAAAGUCUCAAACCAGUGUGGCAACACUGCAAACCAAUAGCAUCAUGACAAGUGGAAUAGAGAGGGGAGUGCUUGAUGGUGGGAAUAUGAUGAUACCUCUACCCUAACCAACAUAUUGAGGGUACUUUAUUUCUUGCUGCUUGAGGAUUGGGUAUUGAAGAAUAACUUACCCUCUCAUUGCUGUCUUUGUCAUGGGCCACACUUCAAACACCAUGAGUACCAGAUGUUCAGGAAUCUUCCUUUGGCACUGGUUCUCUAGUGAAUAAAGAAUUCAGUAUCUGUACGCUGAGGGACUUUCAAAUCCAUAACACUUGUAAAAAGCCUCAGGAUAGCCCAAAUGAUAACAUCUUGUAGCAUACAACAAUAAUCUAUCAGUCCCAUUACAUAUAUAGCAUUGGCAGUUAAACUAUGUUGUCAACAUAAAAUUUCAUUGUGACAGAACCAAAAGAUACCAGAAAGCACUGCAACUCCCUCAGUAUCAGUACCCUUCAGAUUUGUAAAGUUGAAUGAGUUAUUGGACCUUACUCUCUAUGGUUUUUCUCUUCUCUUCAAGAAGACUUUUAUAACUAUUUGGCAGUAUCUAGCACAUUUACCCCAUGCGUGGGACCAAAGAUGUUGAUGAUGCUUUGUACUGGAGGCAAGUGUCCAUCCCUCCUGACCAGGACAUAAUGUGCAACUUUCUGCCAAUGGAACACCACACAGAUGGGGGAUUUUAAGAUGUCUGGUUUGGUGGAUACUGGAAGAGAGCAACAAAGACAAGUUUAAAGGUACCAAACAACUAUGAGAAACCCAUACACUAAAGAAAGAUGCACCUUUUGGGCACUUCUUGAUGCUUUUGUAAACCAUAGGCCAAUGGAACUACAACAAGUGCAAGUGGAGGGAGUGCUCAUCUCACCACCAACUUGUUAUGUUCUUGCUCUGUCUUUUCUCCUUUUGGAAGUGCAACUUUUGGCAUGUAACCAUAGCAAGUGAAUGUGGCAUUUCUUUUUCUCUUUCCUCCUGAAAAGGGAGCACAGAACCCCAGUUUACUAAAUAAUUUUUUGCUAUACAUUGAGUUAUUGGAUUGUAAGUUGUAAGGCUUUCCAUAAAGGCUAAAUUAAUUUCUUGCAGUUUAUAUGCGAUAUGGUUGCAGGUCUCUAGGGUUUCAAAGAAGCUCAUGCAUGGUGAGGUUGGCAAUUCUACAAAUCAGUGAGCGAGCCGGCCAAAAACCAUAAUAAAACAUCAAGGCUGAAUGCAGAGAGAAUUGCUUCACUGCAAAGGAUAUGAAAGGACAACAGCUUCAUGGUCAUCUUCUUGGCGACCGAGGUACAUUUGCAGGCAAAGCUUUAGCAUUCUCCGACUCGAAUCUACCAGAAAUUGAUCAGGCAAAUGAUAUUUACCCCAUGACAUGCCUUCUUGGUGGGACCAAACCGCAACAUCAUUAAGUUGCAAGAUCUCUUUACCAACCAAGGAACAUGUGCAUACGAUUGACACCGUACUUAAAAUUAAGAGAAAAAAUGGUUUAAAAUUUUCAAUAGACAACAGCAUACAUAGAAUCUUGGAUAAUUUAUGAAUUUUCUCUAUUCACAAUAGAUUCUUGGAACCUAUCACAAUGAUUCUAGGAAAACAUCAGAGAAAAAGAUGGGAUAGAGAGGAAUGCCAAUACAGAUGUAACAAGAAAUUCUUGACAAAAUAACAAUAUCAUAUUUAUCUAACAUUAUCUACAACAUUGUUGGAGUUUUAAUUAAUUUUUAGGUCUCCUAGAACACUGCAACAACUUAUCAGGCCGUCAGUUCAUAUCAAAUGAGGAAAUUUAUAUCGGCUUGGACACAGACCAGGAUUUUUCCUUUCUCUGUUGGUGGUAGUGGCGAUCAGCAAUCCUACUACGAGUGAAGUGCCUUCAGCUCACUCAUCGAAUUGGUGGGAACCUUCUAUCAAGUGAUCUGUUGGAAUUCUUCAUCGUACAAAAGUAUAUGUAAGAAGAUAAUGGGCUGUAGUCAAUGCGGAUUGCAGAAAAAGGUCCUUUGUGAUCAAACAUAUAGAAGUCAAUUAAGAAACAAUUUCUACCAAAAAAGUAAAGAAAAACCCAUUUAAUUAGUAUUCAUGGAGUUGCCAGUAGUAGUCUGUUCAUGCUUUUUAUACAGGGCAACAUGCUUCUGGUACUCCUCUAGCUCUUUUUCCAGCUUCUCGAUAUACUGGCUGGUGUGUUCAAGAGAUUGCUCAAAUCUAUAUUUCUCCAGGGCCUGCAAACAUUUACAACGGGUCAGUCAGAGAAACUGAGGAGAGGAAAAAAAUAUAUCUUUAGCUGAUGGAAACAGUAACAGUUCUCACUAAUUCAUAAAUCAUAAGGUUCUAAAAUUUUCAUUAACACUGUUAAGAAUGUAGCUCAGGAGCAAAAAUGCACAGAUGAACAUUAGGAAUACAUGGUGCCAAAGCAGCGAAUGCCUUGGUGAUUUGGUGGUUCCUGGGAGGUUAAGAAUCUCUUUGGCAUGUACAUAAGCAAAGUUCAACAAUGACAUGUUUAAGGGGUGACCUAUGUAAGUGGAAUUGCAAUUCCCAACUUGGUCAGCAGGAGCAUGUGGCAUGAGCCUUGUACCAGAGUAACAACAUUUGGAUAAGAGAACUAAGGUUUCUAGAGGUAUUGUAUGUCCAUUGGAUUAAUCAUGCUGAACAAGAUCGGCCAUGAUGGUGCAAAAGGAUAUUUAAGGGUGGCAUAGUGCACAAGGCUCCCACCAUUGAGGGCUCCAGGGAGGGUCAGAUGUACUCCCACCACUGUGUGAAUGGACAUUAACAAUAUGCAAAUGAAUUGCACUGAAAUGGAUAUAUCACAUAAGAUAACAUGGUUAAAAUUGUUACCUUCUGCUUAGAAAGUGUGUCAGGAGGUGACAUAACUUCUGGUCGCACAUAGUUCUUCCCACGAUAAAAUAUUAUAAUGUUAUUAGGUUUUAUAUCAAUCACGGCGCCUUUGCUGAGUCUUGCCAGCUCCUCAGCAUAUUCAUGAACCUGGCCAGGUCUACAAGGCUUGCAUACUACUUUGACGGUUUCAUGUUUCUUCCAGUGGAGAUGCAUGUUGAGAACCACACCACCAAAUACUCCCCGUCUCCCAACAGGGACAUAAUUUUUCUUCUUUUCACCAGUACGUUUGAGGUAGAACCGCUCUUCUUCAGUAAGGAUUUCAGGAUCAUGUUCGGGUCCUGGAGCUUUUGGAAUCUCAUAUUUCCUCAGUUUCUCAAUCAGCCAUUCUUCUUUCCUUUUAGCCUGAACUACAAACAUAUGCCAGUCAGGAAGGGUUUAAAACAUAAACUAUACAUCAAGAAUAAAGGAAAUAUAAAUAUCUUCAUCAAAUUAUAUUUACAGUGCAGCCGAAUUUUAAAUAGCACACUCUAAGGAGAUAUUGAACCCAAAACUACUUUCACAAGCUUGCAGCUGAUGAAGGGAUCUGGAGAAGAUAAAUGUUUCUAAAUUUUAUCUUUUUGAAAGUAAUAAAUGACUGUGAUGAAAAUUCACUGAUCUUAAAAAACAAUUUUUAAGAAAUGGAUAAAAUGAGAGAGAAAACUAAUCAUGUAUCCAACCUUUUCAAGCUUGUAUCUAAUCCUGACUUCAGGAUUGGGAGAUUUCAACUUCUUUUUUGCCUUCAAGCGGUACCACUUGAGCUCAUUUAGUUUGGCUUUCCUGGACAUUUUCUGCCGCUUAGGCAUUUUCAUUCCCUUUGUCUGAGCUUGUGAUUUGGCACUUGGGUCUUUAAGAGAAAACCUAGCCACAUCAUCUUCUGUAUCCAAUGUCACUAACGCGUUGCUUCUAAAUCUAACAGGUUGCCACCUUUGCAGGCCAAAUAAUUUAUUUGUAACUGAUCUUUGAACUGCCAAAGAAGACAUUCCAAUGGGCAUUGAAAAUGACAUAGUCUUGUAUUCUCUCUGAUCUGGACAUGAACACAGAGAAAAAUGAGAAACCAAUGUGAGCCUUGGUACAAAUAACAUUGGCAUCAAGCAACAUCCAUUACUGAAGCCCGUCCAAGAAGUCCUGCAAGCAAAAGUUGCUAGUAAUUUGCACAUGCCCCCCCUCCUGAAGAAUCAGAAAGUAACUUAAUUGAAUCAUUAUCAUGAAAACCAUAAUAAUUGAGAUGUUUGAAGGUUUUAGAGUGGAAAAUACAGUUGAUUGACAAUAUUAGAGCAGCUACAAAGUUGGAGAUACUCAUGAAUAUAAUCUAUGCAGGUAUAUAGUCCCCUGUGCCAUCCAACACUUUUGCUUCUAGGAUAUUAUAUAAUAAAAGCAUAAAGAAUUUGAUAAAUUAACCUUAUAUAUCAGGAACGCCAAUUCAAAACAAUAAGAAAACUAAUUCCUAGCAUCAAGAAAGUAUAUAAAGCAGAAAUUAUUGCGGCAAAUAGUCACCAAAAUGGUUGUGCAAUUUGGACCAGCCAAAGCACAGGUUCAACCACUCUAAAAGCUAUCUUUCAAGUAAAUCUUACGGGUAAGUUCAGAAAUUAUAUGCCAUGGCAGAAUUCAUUUGCUAGGUAUAUUUAGUUACACAAAUAACCACACUUGAUCUAUGUCAUGGUUUAUGCCCACCAAGCAGUUGACAUGUAAGAAAGCUGAAUGGCUACCAUCAACUCUAACUGGCUAGGCACAAGGUAUUGAGUUCAUCGCUAGAUCCAAGGCAAACUUGGCAUGCAUUACAGCCAAAAAAAAGGUUAAUCAGCCACAAAUCAAUAAAAUUAUUAUGCCAGCGAUGCUCCAAAAGCACAUCUUUCAACAAAAAAUGAAUGGAUAGCUUCUACAAAAGAUAUUCAGCAACCAUUCAACAAAAGUUUACAGACUAAAAUUUCUAAAUGAUUUAAGGAUAAAAAAAGAUUAAGAAUGAUCUGCAAAGAAUCUGAUAGCUUUACAUGAGUGGUCAAGUACAAAGAGAAAAUAAAGAAGAGAAACAAACUUGGACCAACAAAAGCUUCACAGGUCUAAAGGAUUUAGAUAAAGUAAUAAGAACACGUGAAAUCCACUGCACUUUCUUCUUUUAUUGGAGAUAAUUGGUAGAUAUUGAAUAAUAGGUAAGAGAGAGGACUAAAUCUUGCACCCAUAAAACAUGAGACAAGAUACUACCACCUUCUAUCACAUUGAAAGGACCACCGACAAAGAUGGAGGCACGAUUCAAGAGGCCUAGCAUCUCUUUUGACCACCUUUCACAACAGAAGGAUCCUUUAUGAGCUCCUUGGACUUUUUAGAGACAAUACAAAGAACCUUGCCUUUGGUCUGCUUCUACAUGUGGUCUAUCAAGUUGGUCAUAAAUCAUGAGGAAGAUGAUGCCGCUGCAAUCCCUCACCAAUAAUCCAAUUGUAAAAUGUCUUAUGAUUCUUUAUCAUACAAAAUAUGGACAAGAAGUUCCUAAAAAAGGGAAUCUACCAGAGAUUUGAAACAAAGAAAAUGAGAAAAGUCAAUACCACCUUCUUCUCAGGGAUGUCAACUUAUCAUGUACCUUAUGAGAGGUGCUUGCCAGCUACUGAGAAAGCCUAAUUAAUAAUAAAGAUAAAACAUUUAUUUAGUCACCAUCCCCAAUCAGAGCAUCCCUAAAGAACAAUUGUACUUCUUUCGAGAUGGGAAGAAGACCCUAACUUUUGAUUCACCACAAACAGCCAGCCUAACAGACCUAGAAACUGCAAGGUGGAUGAGACAGUUUGAUUUAUCAGAGAUUUAUGCUAGGUUUCAAGUUUCUGAAUGAGUGAGAAUUAAAUUGUGCUGAGGGAUGAUUGAAGCAGCCUCAUCAUGGCUAGAUUCACAUAGAUGUUAGUUAAAAAUGAAUCUUAAUACUUCAAACUUCAAAGUGACCCAAAACCAAGUUAUAGAUGCUAGCAGACAUUGGAAAUAUAUGAACUGAAAGAUAAUAACAUCUUCAUGUUAUCAACUUUAAGAGAGUGGAUUUAAUUUAUCUUCAAAUACUAUCCCAUUCUUUUCAGAUCUCCAAAAACACAAUGCAAGGAGUCAAGUGCCUAGCACCUUGGCACUUAGAAAAACCACUAAAAAUCAGUGCCCUUUCACUCCAUAGGAAUUCAUCUUCGUUAACUCAAGAAAGUGUAAUCAGGUUUGCUAAACAACCUCAUAUUUGCAAAACAAGUGGCUGCUUAUCUCAUCAUCUUUCCAACAGAAAUUACACAUUUGGAUUGAAAGCCCUAAUAAAUUUAAGAAUACAUGCUGCAGAAUUGAUACAUCUUAGAAUUUUCUCUAGUGUCAUCACAUAACAAAUAAUUUCCACCCUAGCAGGAGCCUGACCAAAGGAAACAAAAGCAGCCAGACUUCAAGACAUACCAUACUCUAUAAUCUUUGAAGGACAACUUGGUCUAAAGACUAGAUAAUUGUGGUCCAGACAUACUACAUAUGCAUCGUCCAUAGCAAUCAAAAUGUAAUAUUAUUAAGCAAAUUGAGAAUAGAAUUAAAAUCUAUAUCUUUCAAUUUUUUUAUCAAAAUUUAAUACUAUUAUGCAAACUGAGAAUAGAAUUAAAAUCCACAGCUUUCAAUUUUUUACAUGACACCCCUAACCUCUAUGUUACAAACAACAGGUCCAUGUUCCUUUCCAUUAUAAUUACCUAUAAGCACUCCCUAAAGCACAGUAAUCUCUAAAGCUUAGGAAAAGAGUCUAAAACAUGGUAUUGCCAACCCAAAGAUAAAUCCACGACCAAAGUCAAUUCCUUCCUCAACUCAUUUGGACAUCCUUUUUUACUCCCGACAUUCAAAAUAUGGUUAAAAGGAAUAAAAUCAUUUAACUCUAUUACACAUGGAUUAAUGUAUCCUAUGGUACCAGUCAUACUGGAUUUUGUGUACAUACCAGGUAAGUAGGAGAAUGGUGCAUGGGUACAUAUCUUCACAUCAUGCGUUCCAGUCCCUCCUACUAAAAACCUCCUUGAACCUUCUUAAAAUCAAUUGGCAUCAAGAAUGCAUCUUAAAUAAGGCAUGGAUUGAAUUAAACCUUUAAGGAGAGUAAUGACAUGAGGAUAGCCCACAUUAGCGUCCAUGGUCUGCCGUACCGGUCCGUACCGGCCGGUACGGGCCGGUACGUACCGGUCCGGCCUGGGACCGGUACCGGAUCAGCGUGGAAUCCGGUACCGGUAGUUUAUUGUUAAAGAACCGGUAAGCCACCGGUUCGGACCGGUAUGCCACCGGUACGGACCGGUAUGGGACCGAUUUCGUACCGGUUCGGGCCACCACCGGUACGCCGACCGGUACCGGUAUGGCGGACCUUGUUAGCGUCAGUUUUACAUAUGCUUCUUCCUUGAAGGUAAUUUCUCGAUCACCAAACUUUUCUCAAUAUCUUCUCAUAGUUUCUAUACAGAUUCUUUUAGCCCUUCAUUUUUCUUUACCAACCAUCCCAAUGAAACCCUAUUCGCUCUCUCACUAAGGUAUCCUUCAGUUUUUGUUAGAAAUGAUCGUAAUACUUAAAUAAAGUAUAAAAAUCUUUACAAUUUACACAUAAAAGACAUGAAAUUCCAUUCUUUUCCUACAUUUACCACUUGAAAAUUUUGUAUUUUCCUCUCCGAUGUUUCUAUCUUAUGUUCUAGACCCCUCCUAGAUGCCUGAUAUAUACUGUGUGAUAUAACACUAGCCUUAUUGUUCUCUUAAAAGAAAUAAGAGAAUGCUCAUAAGCAUGGGAUAAUCACUCAAACUCUGGAGUCAUGCAUCCACUUCAUCCAUCUUGCUCUGUUCUAUAAGAGCUCUGUCUAUCUAUUUGUCAUUCCAUCCAUAAAACCUCAUACACAUAAAUUACAAUAAAGAAAACCUUACUAGGAGGCUACUCAUAGAUGAUUUAUUUAGUAAAUUAGGUGAUGAUUGCAACCCGCUCUUCCAACAAAAUCACUCAAAUGAGCAAGAAAAAACAUUAAAAUUGAGCUUGCCCAUAAAUAACGCAGUCCAAUUCUGCCAUGUCCAACUGAACAUGGAUGAGGCUGUAUGAUGCAAAACAAAAUUGACAAACCUAAAUGAGGCUGAUUCAAUAUACACAACUUUUUCUUCCAAAUAAGAAUUGUAUUUAGAAUGGAGGGUGGGGGGGAGGGCAGAAGGACCACAAGUAAACCUCAAAGAGUUUGAUUAGGCAUCAAAAAUCUCAAUUUUGAUGGCCAACAUUCUUAAAAAAAACAAAUAAAAAAAAUCUACAAUGGAAUUUAACUGCACCCUCAGGAAAUCUAACAUUAAUAACUAAGUAUUGUUAAAGAAACCCUAGAUAGGAUUCCAGGAAAGGGAAAAGAACUACCUUGGGGGACAGGAAAGAGAGGAUUCUAAACACCGAUAAGAAGAAAUCGCUCCACAGAUCGACCUAAUCUUCUUACUCGAGAGAAAACGAGAAAAAGCGGCCAUGGAUGGAGAGAGCACCGCCGGCUCAGGCCCGACUUCGACUCGGCCGCGACGGCGACCGGUGAAGGAGGCGGCGCGGUCGAUGUGGUGAGGUUUCGGGGCAGUCACUAGGGUCUUGGACGGGUACAGUAACGGUUCCGGUUGGGCUCACUCCGUUGCUGUGUUCGCCGUCGGAUCUCAAUGUAACGGAUCUCUUUUUGUAACAGAUUCACCAUUGGAUCUUGUUGGUUUGCGAUUUUUGAUGCAUUACUGGGAGCAAAUUGGAAGUAACUGAUAACCCCAUAUCAUAAUGCUAGGGAAACAAUUUAACUCGCAGAGAUAGGUAAAACAUAUCAAUAGAUUUAUUCUUCCUGAAAAAUACCAUUAGUUUUGUUAUUAAAAGUGCUAAGUGAUAUUUUAGUUGCAAACAGUAUUAGAUUGGUUGAUAUUACAAUUUCGAUGGUAGACUUCGUGCUACAUGGAACAUUAUGUUAUUUGCAAAAAAAAAAAAUUGAAAGCUUCUCCGAUCAUCCUUGAGAGAGACAUCUGGACAGAUGUUAGGUGGCUAUCAGGCUAACUUUCUUUAGAUAUCAAUACCCAUUCUCUAACAUAGAGUUGCUUGAGAAUAGAGCAACUCUAUAAUUUUUUUGAGUAACAUAUAUUUAUAAAGAGGUUAACAGUGCUGCAGACUGAAUGACGACAUAUGUAGCUGAUCAUACUAGAUCUAUUUUGUAGACGAUUGUGAUAGAUAUUCUUUUUGAACUUUUAGAUAUUUUAUUUUCUGAUUCUCACGAAUGUAUUUAUUUUAGAUUGGUAUGAUAAUUCAGUUUACUAAAAACUUAAAAGAAAAGAAAAGUAAAGAAAAGAAAAAAUUAUAACCACAAUAUGUACUAGAUUUGUUGCAGUGAAAUAUUUGAGCUUUCUAGUUGAUAUAAACCAUGCAUGCAUCUGCUGCUUUACUAAUUGUUUGUAAAAAAUUUUACAUCUCCUUGUAUUUGGUAGGAGAUAUAGAAUUCAUGAAUAAUAUUUUUGAGUUAAAAAUUCACAUUGUUGAUUAUGAUUAGUAGCAUCUAAAAUGGCUAGAAUUUAAAAUUUAUUUUUCUAAUCAAAGUUUAGAUCUUAAAGCUGCACUGAUGAGUAUAUAAAAUCAAACUUUGGACAACAAUAUCUGAAACAAUAUCCUAGAAUAUUAAUAGCAUCUCACUUGGAACAGAAGUCAAAAAUCUUGAUUCGCAUCCCUUUCCAUCUGAGAGAGAUCCAAAGUCCCUAGUAGUAUUAUCCCAUCAUAUUUGUUAAAAAAAUAAUAAUUGUUAGGGGGUGUAAAGGGGGGCCAUAAACCUUUUUCUUUCGUGAGGCGCCUUUUGGACAAAGCCGUGAGGGGUAUCUCCCAUCCUGAAAAGGUGGAGGGACUCUCCAAAGCGGACAAUAUCUCGUGACGGGACGCAACCUCUUUCUCUGCUCUAACAGAUAGGAUGCCCCGGGUGCGUGGACCUCCCCCCGCACAAUUCUUCCCACUCGGAGGGGUAGUGUUAGGGGUGUAAAGGGGGGCCACAAACCUUUAGUCUCAUACUGCUUGAGUAGUGAAAAGGGUUGUGCUUAUAAAGGGUCUCCAUUCCUUUUUUCCUUGCAAGGUGCCUUUUCGACAAAGCCGUGAGGGAUAUCUCCCAUCCUGGAAAGAUGGGGGGACUCUCUAAAGCGGACAAUACCUCGUGACGGGACGCAACCCAUUUUUCUGCUCUAACGAUAAUAUCUUAUAUUUAUAUAUUAUAUAUUUUUAAAAUUUGGUAUAAGUUAAUGUAGAGAUGCACAACUUUUGUUAUUGUGAAAACUGGAUUCCUAGCCUGCUGGUACCAACCCUCAAUCAGCUAUGCCAUUGGCAUGUUUACUGGAAAUAUUAUUUAUUGGAUUUGGAUGCUAAAACAAUCCAUUUUAAGAUAACACGAAUUUUUUGCAAGCAAGAAGGAUUUUGUAAAAUAAUUAACAAUUAUAUUUUUCUUUAAAUACAAAUAAUGCUACAAAUAUGCGCAUUCUAGCCAUUAUUUCAGUCUGUCUACCCAUAUAAGGAUGGCGACGAUGGAAGCAAAACUAUCAGAAAACUAAAAUAUAAAUACAAACAGUAAUUUUUGAAAUCCAUUCCAAAGUUCUUUGUUGCAAAAUUGAAAGCAGAAUUCGGAAGAAAAAAAAAAAAGUAGAAUCCAAAUCAAAUUUGAUAUGAAAAUCAGAAUAAUCCAAAUCGAAUUAGCUCAUCAUGUUUGCCAUACAGAUCCUAAUUUUUGAUGUGAUUGCUAUGACUGCCUUGCACGAAUUGGAUGUAAAUGGCUUGGCUCUCAACAUUUAACAACCAAUCGAUGGACCCAACUCUUUCUACUGGGGACCCCAAGAAUUUUAUUUUUAUCAAAUUGACCCAACGAUGCAAACAAGUUUUUUUUUUUUUUUUGGUUACAUCGGCGACACACAUAUAACAGGUGUGCAUGCAAUCUAUAAAGUCAGAAAAAAGAAGAAAAUAUAUAGGAGAUGCAAACAAGUUUUAACUAAUAGAUUAAUAGAAAAAAAAAAAAGUAGAAUCCAAAUCAAAUUUAAUAUGAAAAAUCAGAAUAAUCCAAAUCCAAUUAGCUCAUCAUGUUUGCCAUAGAGAUCCUAAUUUUUGAUGUGAUUUGCUACUACCACCUUGCACGAAUUGGAUGUAAAUAGCUUGGCUCUCGACAUUUAACAACCACUCAAUGGACCCAACUCUUUCCGCUGGGGACCCCAAAGUUUUUAUUUUUAUCAAAUUGACCCAACGACGCAAACAAGUUUUAACUAAUGGAUUUGGUCUACGCUCUGCAUUGAAGUCAAAAUGGACCGAUUUAAAUAAAUCCAGGGAGCAGCAGCUAGCGGCGUGGUGUCGGCAUUUCCCGAAUACGAAGGGCCGUCCAGAUCUGAGUCGAGGGUCGGGAUCUCAUCUUCGACAAGAAGUGCGCCUCUCGUUCCGGGCACGACUUUUGGCAUCUCGCGACCGUUUCGGUUGUUCCGCCGGCAGGUUUUGUUUCGACCCUGCUCUUGAAAGAAAUAUCAUUGAUGCCACCAGGAGGAGCAACCUUGAGAUCAGUGGAACUUGAAUUAGAGGAGAAACUAUAAAUUUCAAAGGCAACUUGCACCUAGAAUUCAUGAUUGGAGCUAUAACCAUUUCCAAAAACUUUCAUCAUGUAACAAAUAUAUAUAAUUUUUUUUUUAGAAGGUUGAAGGUGUGACUCAUGUCUCAUAGCAUUUCUAUAUAUUAUUUUGAAGCAAGAGCAACUAAUUCUAUGAAGAAUAUAGGUGGGUGUAGUAGAGUUGUUGGUCCUAGAUUAAUUAUGUUUAAGAUAUCAAGAAUUAUAUAAAAAGAAUAUUUGUGCUACUAUCAAAAAAGAAAAAAAUCAUCUUUUGUUCUUUCUAUGCUAAGGAAGAAUAAUAAAAAUGUUAAAAUAAUGAUAUUUAAUUGAUUACUUAUACCUUGAAUGUUAUAACAUAUUAAUCACUAUUAAACGAUGGAGAACUAGACAUUUUAUUUUCAAAUAAAGUUUCUAGCCACCAUCGGCUACCAAAGCAAAGGAUAUUUUAGGGCUUUUAAUUAUAUAUAAUUACGUAGUUUGUAUGAGUUAUUAUACAAAUUUUAGGCAUAUUGUGAACUUAUAGAGAUAGACCGUGAAUAAAAAUUCUAGUCCAAAAAUGGUCAAAUGGAGUGUCUGAACAUGGCUAUGGUCUACGUAAUUAUAUAUAAUUAAAAUCCCUAAAAUAUCCUUUGCUUUGGUAACUGAUGGUGGCUAGAAACUUUAUUUGAAAAUAAAAUGUUUGUAUGAGUUAAUAUACAAAUUCUAGGCAUAUUGUGAACUUAUAGAGAUAGAUCGUGAAUAAAAAUUCUAGUCCAAAAAUGGUCAAAUGGAGUGUCUGAACAUGGCUAUGGUCUAUGCCUUCAAUUAGAAAUUGAGAGCAGGAGAUUGUAAGAUUUGUGUUUAUUAUCAUACAAAAAUAAAGCAUAAAAGGGGAAGUGAUGUAUGAUGCCCAAACUUUUAUUAAUUAUAGUGGUUACGUACAAAAGAAGCAAUGAAAAGAGGGUAUAAUAUAGUGGAAUCAAUUCACAUGUAUGAAUAAUGGAGCAAGGAAGCUCAUAAGNNNNNNNNNNNNNNNNNNNNNNNNNNNNNNNNNNNNNNNNNNNNNNNNNNNNNNNNNNNNNNNNNNNNNNNNNNNNNNNNNNNNNNNNNNNNNNNNNNNNNNNNNNNNNNNNNNNNNNNNNNNNNNNNNNNNNNNNNNNNNNNNNNNNNNNNNNNNNNNNNNNNNNNNNNNNNNNNNNNNNNNNNNNNNNNNNNNNNNNNNNNNNNNNNNNNNNNNNNNNNNNNNNNNNNNNNNNNNNNNNNNNNNNNNNNNNNNNNNNNNNNNNNNNNNNNNNNNNNNNNNNNNNNNNNNNNNNNNNNNNNNNNNNNNNNNNNNNNNNNNNNNNNNNNNNNNNNNNNNNNNNNNNNNNNNNNNNNNNNNNNNNNNNNNNNNNNNNNNNNNNNNNNNNNNNNNNNNNNNNNNNNNNNNNNNNNNNNNNNNNNNNNNNNNNNNNNNNNNNNNNNNNNNNNNNNNNNNNNNNNNNNNNNNNNNNNNNNNNNNNNNNNNNNNNNNNNNNNNNNNNNNNNNNNNNNNNNNNNNNNNNNNNNNNNNNNNNNNNNNNNNNNNNNNNNNNNNNNNNNNNNNNNNNNNNNNNNNNNNNNNNNNNNNNNNNNNNNNNNNNNNNNNNNNNNNNNNNNNNNNNNNNNNNNNNNNNNNNNNNNNNNNNNNCGUCCAUUUUUAUAUAGGAUUAUAUAUAUAUAACCUUUUUUUUUGGCACGAUAAAAAUAUGAAACUUUGAACAAUUUCUUCUCAGAAAAAAGCUUUGAUUAUUUUCAAUGACAUAGUCUUAGCUGACUAUUGACCAUUUUAUCAUAUCAAACUAAUCUAAAAGCAAUCGUCAAACAAAAUAUGCAAUGGUCUCGAUUGACAAGUCGACACAAUCACAACCAUUUGGUUUUAUUAGCAAACAAUAACUCCAAGGUUCCAAUUAAAAUCUGAAUGGCGUAGAUCUGUAAUUUGCUUAUGAACCAAGGGCGGAAUAGGUGGCAGCUGGUAUCAAACAAAGGGAGAAAGUUCAAACUUGAAAUUUUGGUUGGUGACACCACCCAAUCCGAAAGGCAUUGGCUGAAUUGUUUAGAGCGUGAUUGACUUGAACUCCGGGCCUCGUAAUUGGAAUAUGGCGCCUUUGGUCUUAUAAAUCAUAUUUUGUUAGAAGAUGAAGUGAGGAACACCAAAGCAGACAUGCCAUUGUUUUUAUCUGGGGACAGAACAAUGGUCUUCAAAGGGUGAGGGGACUUUCAGCAGAAGGGUUUCAAGAGAAACCAAGAGGAUUUUGAUGAAUCUGGUCAAUUGAGUAAGUAUAUCAAAUGCUCCUGAACUUGAUGUAUAAGAGUGGUGGUUAUUUUAUACUUUUCUGCAACUGUUUUACCUCUUCUUUUUAAUUUAUGCCUCUAGUCUGUAUGCAAAUCAUCAGAUGAUUUGGUUCGAAUUCUUAUCUGAGAUGUAUAAGAUAUGGUGAUUCAGACAAGGCCUACAAGGGUUUCAAUUGCUUUUUGGGCAGAUAUGAAUCAUAUAUAGUAUGUGAUUAGUAACCUUCAAUCUUGCCCCUCUUUUGUUCUCUUUCAAUUGUUGUUCAGAAAAUUCAGAACAAGUUGAUAUUUUGAUAAUUUUCCCUUUUUUUUCUUUUGGCAUCUGCUCCCUCUCUCUCUCUCUCUCUCUCUCUCUCUNNNNNNNNNNNNNNNNNNNNUCCUCCUCCUCUCUCUCUCUCUCUCUCUCUCUCACACACACACACACACACACACACACACACGAUUAUAUGGUUCUCAUAUGCAAAAGUUCAUUUUAGAUUUGAAAUAACUAGAGUAUGUCCAUAUACUAGAUCCAAAAAUUUUAUAUUCAACUUUUUUUUGAUGAAGUAUAUUCAACUGUUAAUGUCUGUUUCAAUAACCAAUGCCUUUGUAACAUGAUGAUCGAUUUUUAGAGUAUUGCUUAUGUUGGCAUAAUUUUAGGGAUUACAUAACAACAUGUAUCAGCCCAUAUUAUGUUUAUUUAUUAGUGUGAUCCUAUAUCGGUCAGUAUUAUUUUUCUUUGUUAUCAUAAUCUUAUUAGAGCGAUUUUAGAGAUUACAAAACAACUUGCAAGUAUUAUUUUUCUUUAUUAAUAUGAUCUUAUAUUAGCCUAUAUUAUUUUUUCUGUAUGGAGUCUGUACAUGAGUAUAUAUAAUCCAUGAGAUGUACCGAAUAUGACAGAACGGAGAAAUAAAAUCACUUGUCUCUUUCUUUUUCUCUUAUUUUUUUCUUCUUCUACAAAUAUUUUAACAGCUUCUUAGCAAAAAAAGGUCAUCAAAAAAUUGAAAAGAAUUAAUGAACUCUUGUAUCCCUGAUGUAUUUACUGAAUGAUGGAAAUGCUAUGAUAAAAAAAGAAAGAGGAGUUAGCAUCCUCCCACACGGCCAAACGCCUGUGUUGAGAUAUGUGAAGUCUCACAACCACCAAUUUGUGGUUUUGAACAAUUUAUGCCUGAUAUAUGUACUUUAAAGUCUCCUUAAGCUACAAGGUGUUAAAUUUUAGAUAUAAGCACACGUUUCUGUUGUUUCCACAACACCAUCAACUCAAAACAUGGGCAGAAAUUAGAGUCCUCACUCAUCCAACAUGCCACAAAAAAACUGAGCAAAAUUGCUGCUACUUUUAUUUUUAUAGUUUCACUUGUGUUCCAAUCAGUGGCCCAGACUGUGAUUCGACGAUUGAUCAGAUGAAUCACUUCUUACCCUGCUGAAGAGAUGCUGUUCAUUUAGCUACUAAAACAUCUGCAGAAUGAUGGAAGUUUCAUGAGCUGUUCUUCUCUGCAUGCAGAUUGGUGGAUAGAAAAUGGGUUGUGCUUCUUCCAAGAUACUAACCAGGUCGGGAAGCUUCCAACAGGAGGUGAAGCAAAGCAAACAGAGGAAAACUAAUGGGUUAGAGGAAUUGCUCGUCUCAAAGGAUGGAGGAGACAAAUUUCUUGCUCUUCUCUGCACUGCAAACACAGUGGCUAGGAGGAUCAAGUCAUCAUCACUGAGAGAGGCAACAAUUGAGCCCGCAAAUUCCAAAACCAUGGACCUUGAAGAGUCUGAUAAUACUGCAAAUCCAGAAAAUGAGCUCACAAACAUAGAAACGAUUAAUGCAUGGGAGUUGUUGGCUGGCUUGGAAGAAGGUAAAGAAGAAGGAGAGCAGAAGCAGAGGGAGCAUCACCAUAAUGUGGAAAGUUCUAACAUUGAUAAGGAUGGAGAUUACAAGUUCAUUGUAGGCAAUGACUCGAUACCGUCAACAAGCUUCAGUUUGAUCGAAGAUAACAGCAAUGGUGCGGUCACACAAACUAGAAGCAUCCUCACAGUGGAGGACUAUGAUGCAAUGGUGGCAGGAAAUUACUCGUUGGAGGAAGGAAAGUACAUGACUGAAACUUGUAGGAGCACAGAUGUUCUACUUCCUACAGGUUCAGAGAGCUUGAUAAGGGAAUGUUCGACAAACUCUGUGAUGAUGGAGGACAAUGGUGUUGAACAAGAGGAGAAGCAUGAAGAAUUGGAGGUGAAAAGCAUUGGAACAGAAGCUGGUGUCCAGGAAAAUGUAGAUGUAAAACCUGACCAAAUGAGUGAAAAGGGUGCCAAGAGAAAAGCAAUGGCAAAGGAGCUCACAGCUCUCAAAGUUCCAGGUUUCGAAUUCUCGAGGACUGGAAGUCUAAGAGAGUGGCUUAAACUAGGAGGCCAAGUGUUCUCCCCGGGUUCUUAUGUCACACCAAAGUUUGGCAAUUUUGUCUCACAAGAUCCCGGAUAUGGAGAAACAGGGUGUGUCCAUAAUGUCUUUGAUCCAGAUUUGAUAGAACAGUUUGAACAGGCCAUGAAGCAACUAACAAUGGAAGAGGAGUUCGUCCUUAAACAGAUUAUAGAGAGCUUGGAGGAUGGCCAUGAGGGAGACAUUUCGAGGGUGGAAGUGUCUGAAGAACACAUACAAGUAUAAAAUAUAAGUUUAGAUUGAUGAUCGGAGUGAAUCACAGAAAUAUGAAUGCCAUAAAUGUUGUAAUAUUUUUGUAAUUAAUACAGAUCUUUCAUCUCCAAAAAAUUUUAGGAUAUUUAAGGUAAAGUUCUGCAUCGAUUUAUACUUCAUAAAAUAGUUUGCAAUUUCUUAUGGAUGAAGUAUAAUAAAAUCAGUGAUGCAACAGUUGAUGCCAAAACAAAAAUGUUGCCUCAACAAAGAAACCUAUGUCCACAGGGCUCAAGAAGUGUAAGCAAAGCAAGUCUCAAAUGCAACAUCUGAUUGACAAAAGGAAGAAAGCUGAAGUGGUGGGCUGGUUGUUUAAUGUGCUCUAAUACUGAAUUGCCACCCUAUAUUGUGAUGUUUAGAUAUGUUCAUGUUCAUCUUUUUCUGAUCUGAAAAACUAUAACCAAGUUCUAAUGCUUGUUUUUCUUCCUCUUCUUAUUCUUAUUAGUAAUUAUUAUUGUUAUUUUAUGAAUUCUGCACAUGAAACAAUUUGAAAACAGAACAGAUUUGGUGAAUGAACCAGGAAGACUUAUCCGCAUAUUCAUGCAUCUAAAUUUGCAAAUCUACACAAGAUACGGAGUCCUGGGAUGCAAUCCUCUUGGUCCAAUGUUGGAUGAAACUAGCACUGACCAAAUCAUCAGAAUUACAACAAGAUUUCCUCAUCCUGGGUUCAAAUUAUUACUGAUGCAAUGCAGCUGUCGAAACCAGAACUUUUUAAUUUAAACAUUCAGUUAGAUAUAAGAGCAAGAUCAAUAAAAUAGAAGAAAAAGCUGAAAUGCUAAUCGUUGCUUCACAGAAAAUCGAGUCGCUCGUGCUGAAGAGGGACUACAGGCUCUACUUUAUAGCAGUGACACCUGUAAGAAAAUGCUGUAAGUGCGUGCUAAACAAAAACAUCUGGAAGAAAGCAAUGGCAAAAAUCCAUGCAUGGAAAAUAGAACCAUGUUGAUCCAAAGAAAAAAAGAGAGGAAAGAACUGAGUGCUAACGUUUCAGGUUUCCUCAGUUGGUUCAGUGGAUUCUUAUUCUGUGUAGAUACUUCCGUUCAUAUUGGGAUAGAAUUUAAGUCCUUGCUGAAUGAGAAAAUUGAGCCAGUGAUCUUUCCAUGUCAUGUUCAAUGUAUGCCAAGAUACACAACACUUUCUUAGGCCAGGUGCAAUUUAUAGUAGAGGUUGUGAAGGCAUAAAUAGAGAGGCAGCCACACUGAGUUCAUCUGCAUCUGAAAGGAGGACGAAAUUAUGAGGAUGAUCUUGGCAGCGGAGGCGGCACCAUCAGUGGUUGAUGGUUGUGCUGCAAAAUAUUCUGUUAUUGAGGCUGAGAGUUCGAUCCCAGAACGUCCUGAUGCACCUCCUCUGUUUGGAGGCAACGAGGUAGGUCUUGAUUUUUUUUAAAACAAAUUUUAGAAAUGAGGGAGGAACUUUCCUCAGAUUUUAAUGAUUAUUUGAAAAAAAAAAGGAGUUUGUACACAAAGGUUGAAUAAAGUUUGAACAGAGCAAGUUUAUUCCAUUCUUUCGGGAUUUUUGUUCAUUUUUCUUUUCUUUUUUUAAGAAAAAGAGGGUCACCAUAAUUACACGGAUCUAAGUUUUUGGAGAUGCACCGUCCAAGAUUCAAACCCUGAACGUCUAAGCAAAGGGUUGUAACUUACAAUCGGGGUGAGCUCCAAUUAACUUUGUUUCAAGAUUUUAAUCUUUAUUCUUGCUUAAAAACCUUUUUUUUUUUACAUUUUAUCCCCUUUUUUUAGCUUUUUGUUCUUCUUCUCCUAUUUCUAUCUAUUAGAAAAAUUUAAUUUUUUCUGGGCCUAAGCUUGGCCCAGAGUUUUUGACCCACGCGCGCUCGCGCAUCUUAGGCUGCGCCUGGCGCUCGGCCCAUGCACGCGCUCGCGCGUCCGGGCUGACUGCGGACGCGUCCCCAAAAUACCCCUUGCUGCCUUUCUUGGGCCAAUGCUAUAAAUACCCUUCUUUUUUCCUCCUAUUGGUGUACGAAAAAAUAAGGAGAAAAAUUCUAACAAAAUUAUGAGGAAAUGUUCUUCCUCCUCUUAGCCACUUUCUGAUUUUUAUUUUUACGCCUUUAUUCAGUGAAGUUCUAUUUUCUUUUAUUUUUUUCUUUGCUGGAUUUGCAAGUUUGAUUGGGUUCGUGUUGGCUUCUUUCGAGACGUACUGAAGAAAAAGCUUAGGGUCGUCGUAUCUCUGAGGAGAAUUACUGGAAGAUCCGUACGUGGGGGCAAAUACUUCUUUGGGACAACGUCUACGAGCUUCGACCUGCCUUCAUUCAGACUAUCUUCUUUUACCUUUAUUUCAAAUUUAAUAUUAGUAGAACUGUAGCAUUUAUAAUUUAUGAUUUAAAUUUAUUACAUGUUCUAAAGAAUAGAUUUUUUUGUGCUAAAAUAGAUUUUUUUUGAUUCCAAAUAAUAUAUAUAUUGCUAACAUUUCAAAGAAAUAUUUGUUUUUUUGUUAGUAAUAUAUAAUUCAUUAAAUUCUCUAUUACAAUUGUGAUAUAUUAGAUCUUAAUUAUAAUUGUUAUUUUGCUACCACAAAAUUAGUAAUAAAUUAUUUUAAUAAGAUAAUAAAUUAUUUUAAUAUAUAAUUCAUUGAAUUCUCUAUUGCAUUUAUGACAUGUUAGAUCUCAAUCAAUAAUUGCUUUGCUAGCACAAAAUUGGUAAUCAAUUAUUCUAAUAAGAUAAUAAAUUAUUCUAAUAUAUAAUUCAUUGAAUUUUUUUUAUUGCAUGUGACAUAUUAGAUCUCAAUUACAAUAAUUGUUUUGUUAGCACAAAAUUAGUAAUCAAUUAUUCUAAUAAGGUAAUAAGUUAUUCUAAUAUAUAAUUCAUUGAAUUCUCUCUUACAUUUGUGACAUAUUAGAUCUUAAUUACAAUAAUUAUUUUGCUAGCACAAACUUAGUAAUCAAUUAUUCUAAUAAGGUAAUAAUUUGUUUAACCUCCAAGAGGUUUAUCAUACCUCAUUUGGACUCCUCAAAGAGUAAUUUCCAGAUCCCAUUCAAACGGAAAUUCGAAAAUUGGUUAAUCUAUAAUAACUAAUUUAAGUUUGCACUUAGGCUUUUAUAAAAGUUGAAUUUGUAUGAUGUCUAGUGAUUACAUCCACUAACUAAUAGUAUCAAAGAAAAACUUGUCAAAAAGGUAUAUGUGCCUAAGAAAGACUGGUAUUCAAGUGAGCCUAGUACUUCACCACCGAUCUGGAGCUGAUCUGGCUAUUAUUUUUUGGAUAUAUUAACUAGACAUCCAAAGUUCAAUAUAAAUAUUGGUGCAAUCCUUUGACAUAAACUUUUUGCCUUCAUUUAGGUUACUGCCUCUUUUCUGUAUUCUAUAACCUUGAACCUAUAGUCUCUAACAUUAGUAAGUAACUUAGCACCAAAUCUGAAAAAUUUGAUGACCAUAACUUUAGGAGGUGACAGAACCAAAUGCGGUUCUGGCUCACCACAUUAAUAUUGAUCUCAGCCAUAGGUGAGAGCACUACUAAAGUUGAUAACGGGUCUAACCCAACUGCUUCACGACCUGCUACUCGCUGCUCCUCCCAGACUGAACCUUCUAUCUCCACCAGCACACCCUUCAGGAUACCUGAUGAGAUUGACUAUCAUUGCAUCCAUAGAAUCCUAGGUGCCCUUUCUAAGAGGCUGUAUGAUAUUUAUUACACAACCAAGAGUGCCAAAGAAUUAUGGGACACCCUAGAAAGCAAAUAUGGUCCUGAUGAUGCUGGGGUAAAGAGGUUCAAGACCUUCGACUUCAAUAACUUUAGGAUGGUGGACUCAAAGCUUAUGAAUGACUAACUCCAUGAUUUUGAAAUCCUGAUCCACCAGCUUAGGGCUAAUGGAACCAAUUUGGAUGAAUCAUUCCAGGUAGCCUGUAUGAUAGAUAAACUACCUAAUUCUUGAUCUGACUUUGCUAAGACUCUGAGCCAUACCCAAGGAGGUUUCACGCUAACCCAAGUUUUGAACUCUAUUAGAAUUGAAGAGCAACAUAGGUUUAGGAGUAAAAUCUCUACUGGACACAAAAAUAAUGCUUAUAAUGUAGAGGCCCCACCUAAGAAAAAUUAGAUCCGACCCUUCCGUCAUAACCAAAAUAAGUAUUUCAAAAAGAAAUCCUGCAACCCUAGAAACCCUAACCACCACUACAAUGGAAAACCUAUCCAAUCCCAGGAGCAGAAGAAGAAGAAAGAGGAAGGCAGUGGUCGUUUCUAUUUUGUGUGUGGUCGAACUAACCAUUUGUCUCCCCAGUUCUUUUAUAAGAAAACUGCACCUCUUCAAUCCAAGAAGAAAGGUCCGAACACAACUAGUGCUCAAGUCAAUAUGGUGACUUCCGACGCUGGCUCCUCUGAGACUAUUUUCAGGUUUGUUUCUUCACUCCUGAAGUUAACAUGACUUUACAAGCACUUGAUUGGGGGAUUGAUAUCGGAGCUGGUAUUCAUAUUUGUUCGAAUCGCUCCUGGUUUUCUUCUUACCAGGUCUCAAGUGAAGGAGCUGUGAUCAUGGCAAACAGCUCGGAGGCACGUGUGCUAGGAGUGGGACAUGUGAACUUAAAACUUACGUUUGGAAAAGUCCUGUCCCUGCACGGCAUCCAACAUGUUCCAGUUGUUAGGAAAAACCUUAUUAGUAGUUUCUUGCUUGUCCAGCAAGGCUUUCAUCUUAUUUUCGAGUCCAAUAAAGUUGUUAUUUCUCAUGGUGUGAUGUUUAUUGGAAAAAGAUUCCUCAGUGAAGGAUUGUUUAAGUUGAAUGUUAUAGUUCCUUCAAUGAAUUAAAAUCAUUUGAUUAUGAAUAUAGAACCUCCUUCUAUUUGGUAUGGUAGAUUAGGUCAUGUAAAUUAUAAUUCAAUUAAGCAACUUAUGAAUAUAAGUUUAAUACCAAAAGUUGAUCUUAAGAAGCAUGAGAAAUGUGAAAUUUUAUGUCGAAGCCAAACUCUCUAGGAAGCCUUUUAAAUUUGUUAAUAGGGAUUCAGAUCUAUUAGAGUUGAUCCAUAAUAAUGUUUGUGACUUUGGUAGAACUUCUAAAGGAGAUAACAAAUACUUGUGACCUUCAUAGAUGAUCUAUCUAAGUUCUGUUACAUCUACCUAAUUAAAACCAAGGAUGAAAUGCUCAACAAAUUUAGAAUUUUUAAUAUCGAAGCUGAGAACCAACAAGAGAAGAAAAUUAAAACUCUUACAUCAGAUCGGGGAGGUGAAUAUACAUCUAAUGAUAUAACUCAAUUUUGUGGAGAUCAUGGAUUCAUUCAUGAAGUGACUGCUCCCUAUUCUCCUCAAUCAAAUAGAGUAGCAGAAAGAAAGAAUAGGACUUUAAUGGAUAUGGUUAACUCCAUGCUCAUAAGCUCAGGAGUACUAGAGAAUUUGUGGGAGAAAGCUCUAGUUUCAGCCUAUUAUAUCCUCAAUAGGAUUUCCUCUAAAAAUAAUGAUCUUACCCUUUAUGAAGUUUAGAAACAUAGAAAACCUAAUCUUAGCUAUUUGAAAGUGUGGGGGUGCUUGGCAAAAGUGAACAUACCUGAUUUUAAAAGAAAAAAAAAGGACCUAAAACAGUGGACGUCAUAUUCAUAGGAUAUGCAACCAAUAGUAAUGCCAAUAGAUUUCUGGUGAUUAAUUCAGAAGAAAAUGAUAUUAGUAACAACACUGUCAUAGAAGUCAGAGAUACAAUAUAUUUUGAAAAUACCUUUCUACUUAGGACUAGAGUAGAUAGUGGUAUAGCUAGUAGCUCUAGUAGAAUAACUUUAAGAGAAAUAAAAGUAGGAGCAGAAUUUAGGAGUAAGAGAUCCAGGGUAGAGAAAAAUUUUUGGAAAUAACUUCUAUACUUUUCUUAUAGAGGACUCUCUAACUACUUUUGAGGACGCAAUGAAAUUCUUUGAUUCACCUUUUUGGAAAGAAGCUUUGGACAAUGAGAUAUAGUCAAUUAUCCAAAAUCAUACUUAGAAACUGACUGAUCUUUAUUUUGGCUGUAAAACUAUAGGGUGCAAAUAAAUCUUUAAGAAAAAACUUUGACCUGAUGGCUCUGUAGAUAAAUUUAAGACUAGAUUAGUUGCCAAGGGUUUUACUCAGAGGCUUUGAUGUCUAUGCACCUAUAGCUAGGAAUACUACUAUUAGGGUUCUGAUAGCAUUAGCCUCCAUCCAUAGAUUAGUGAUUCAUUAGAUGGAUGUGAAAACAACUUUUCUAAAUGGAGACUUAAAUGAAGAAAUUUAUAUGGACCAGCCAGAGAAAUUUAUAAUCCCAGGCCAAGAAAAGAAAGUUCGUAUAUUAAUCAGAUCUCUCUAUGGUCUUAAACAAGCAUCCAAGCAAUGACACUUGAAAUUUGAUGAAAUAAUACUGAUAUGUAGAUUUGAAAUCAAUAGUACAGACGAAUAUGUAUACCAUAAGAGAGGUGGAAAUAAAUUUGUGAUCUUGUGCCUCUAUGCAGAUGAUAUACUGAUCUUUGGGAUAGAUCUUCAAAUAAUUGAUGAAGUAAAGCAAUUAUUAUGUCAUAAGUUUGAUAUGAAAGAUUUGGGAUAAGCUGACUUAAUUUUAAAUACCAAAAUAAUUAGAAAUACAAAUAGAAUUGAGUUAUUCCAAAGUCAUUAUGUUGACAAGAUUCUCAAUAAAUUUAAUUAUAUCGAUUAUCAACCUGUCUCUAUUCCCUUUGAUCCCUCUACACACCUUAAGAAGAACUUAGGAAUUCCUAUCCUUCAAAGCCUAUAUGCUCAAAUCAUAGGCUUACUAGAAUUCCUAGCAAAUUACACCAGGCCAGACCUAGCAUAUGUUGUAAAUAGACUUAGUAGAUAUACUAUUAAUCGAAAUAGAGAUCAUUAGACAGUAUUAGAGAGGAUCCUUAGGUAUCUUAAGGGUACCAAGUCCUAUAGUUUGCACUUUAGUGGGUUUCCUGUUGUUCUAGAAGGCUAUAGUUAUGCUAACUGGAUCAGCGAUACCUUAAAUAUUAAAUAUACCAUAGGAUAUAUCUUUUUCCUAGGAGGUGCUGCUGUAUCUUGGAAAUCCACCAAACAAACCUUGAUAUCUAGGAGUACUAUGGAGUCUGAACUAAUAGCUUUAGACACCACUAGCACUAAGACUGAGUGGCUCAGAGAUCUACUUAUAGACCUUCCAGUAGAUAAGUCACUUUUACCACCUGUCUCCUUACAUUAUGACUGUAAAUCUGUAAUAGAUAAGUGCUACCAAGAAAAUGGCAAUGUAAAAAUGAACAAGCACUUAAAAGUGCAUUAUAAAUCAUUAAGAUAUCAAUUAAAAAAUAAUGUAAUAGCUUUGAAUUUCAUAAAAUUCAAAAAUAAUUUGGCUGAUCAGCUUACAAAAGGUUUGUCUAGAACAAUAGUUCUAGAGUCGUCGAGGAGGAUAGGGCUUAACCCGUAAAGAUAGAUCACCAUGAUGGGAACCCAACCUUAAAAGGUUCAAUGGGUAGAAACAAACUAUAAUGUGACUAAGAGGAACACUGUUUUAUAUUUUCCUCAUUCCUAUGGCACUAGUGCUCAUAAAAGCAAGAGGUAGGAUGAGUUUGUUUGCAUAACUCUUAAUGAGUCCGAGACUCAAGAGGUAGGAGCUUCCUUGCUAGCUCCCUUAUUAGGACUCACCUAUAUGUGUUGUCGUGAGGCCGCGAUUAUGGAAAAUAGGUGAUUUUCUAAAAAGCACAUGACAGAUACCUGUGCAUAGUCAUAUUAGCGCAACCCGCUUAGAACCCAAAUCGGGCUAUAUUAUGUGUGCUGUUGAUUUAAUCUGAGUCAUGGACCGAGGUUUAAGGUUAAGACCACUUUGGCUCUACAUAUGUAAUCAAUUGUCACUAAGUGAAGCUUCAAACCGAAAGGUACGUAUACCUAUUACAUAAUAUAAGAUAUCUAAUAUUUUGUUUUGAUUUUAAAAUUAUUUCAAAAUUAAUUUUUGUGGGGGAUUGUUAGAAAAAUUUAAUUUUCCUUGGGCCAAAACUCGGCCCAGAGUUUUUGACCCACGCGCGCUCGCACGUCUUGGGCCGCGCCCGGCGCUCGGCCCAUGCACGCGAGCGGGCGCGCGCUAGCGCCCUCCACGGGCUGAUCGUGAACGUGUCUCCAAAAUACCCCUUGCUGCCUUUCUAGGCUAUAAAUACCCCUCUUUUUUCCUCCUAUUGGUGUAUGAAAAAAUAAGGAGAAAAAUUCUGGAAAAAUUCUGAGGAAAAGUUUUUCCUCCUCUAAGCCACUUUCUGAUUUUUAUUUUGGCGCCUUCAUUCAACGAAGUUCUAUUUUCUUUUUAUUCCUUUCUUUGCUAGAUUUGCAAGUCUGAUCGGGUUCGUUUUGGCUUCUUCCAAGACAUACCAAAGAAAAAGCUUACAAUCGUCGUAUCUCUGACGAGGAUUGCCGGAAGACCCGUACGUGGGGGCAAAUACUUCAUUGGGACAGCGUCUAUAUACUUCGACCUACCUUUAUUCAUGCUAUCUUUUUUUGCCUUUAUUUCAAAUUUAAUAUUAGUAGAUCUGUAGUAUUUACAAUUUAUGAUUUAAAUUUAUUACAUGUUCUCAAGAAUAUAUUUCUUUUGUGCUAAAAUAAAUUUCUUUUGAUGCUAAAGAAUAUAUAUAUAGAUUAUUCCUUUUAAGAUUGUUCUAUUAAUUGUUAUUAUAGUUUUUAUUUACUUAUUUAGAAUAUAUAUAUAUAUAUAUAGAUUUCUUUUGAUGCUAAAGAAUAUAUUUAUGAUAUAAUAAUAUAUUAUGAUAUGAUAUGAUAUAAGAUGUGAUCAUAAGAUUUGUUGGAGGGCAUUUUGGUCAUUAAAAAAUUUAUUAAAAUUAAAACAGUUUUCUAACUAAUGUUAGAAAGUACUUUUGGAGAGAAGCUCCAAAAAUAUUUUUAGCUUUUUUGCAAAGUCAAAACAUCUUUCUAAUUUUUUAUCAAGCGCUAUUAUAUUAUUUAAAAAUAUUUUUAGAAAAUCAAAAAAUAUUUUUUGGUACUUCAAAGUUCAAAAGCCCCACCAAACGGUCUUUAAUGGCUUAUUGGCUUUUGUUUCUUUUUAGAGCCUCAUAGGUCAUAUCAAAAUCCCCACCAAUAAUCCAAGGUCCAGAAAAAAAUGCUCUAAUCUGCUUCAACUCUCUCUAGAACACUUUCUUUAAUGCAUGAUCCCAGGCUCAUACACGACAAGGAGCAUCCACGUCAUAUUGAGAAUUCUACCAUUCCACAAGAUUGAGAUAGAGAAUCUCUUAACCUUCUGUCUUGACACCACAAACUUAAAGUUAUUCCAAUCCAAUAGAAUUAGGGGUGCAAAUGGGUCGGAUCGGAUCACGAGGAAUCCCGACCCAACCUAGUUUCUUGUUUGGAUCGUAAUUUUGGAUCUAUACCCAAUCUAAUAAAAGAUCGGGUUGGAUCGAGUUGGGUUCACCACCAUAAUUUUUGACCCAAUAGAUCAUUCGGGUCGGAUUGGGUCUAUGCAUAAUCUGGACUCAUUCUAAAAAAAUUGGAUCCAAUUCGAGUUUGGGGCGAGUCUAGUUCAAGCCAACCGAAUUGCAGCCCGUGAGCGUAAAUAAUUUUAUAGAUUCAAGUUGAGUCAGGACAGGACGGAUCGUAGGAUUGAAAAUCUAAAAUUAUCUAAAUUUCAAAUAAAUCAUGUUGGAGCGAGUCGGAUCGGAUCUGAAUUCAAUAAAUUCAGGCCCGUUCCAAAAAAUGGAGCAAGUCCAAAUUUAAGACCCGACCCGAUCCUACCUUACAAGUCCUUCAAAAUAAAUCGGAUUGGAUCUAAGCGAGUCGAAUUGAGGCAUAAAUCAAUCCGACCUAUUUGCGGCUUAAACAGAAUGUCUCUAGCUGAUCCUCUUCGUCCCUAGGCACCCAGCUGUUAGUUUGGCCCCUAGGUAAGGGCUUAGAAUAGUUGGAGAAGGAUUGCUCAGCUUAGGUUCUCUGUCCCGCAGUACAGCAACCACUUGAUAUAAUCAAAUUCCUAACCACUCUCCUCUUGGGAGGGAUCAGCUGAUCCCAGUGCUUAUUGUGGAGAACAUCGUUAAGCAACAUCACGACAAAUAGAGGAACGACACGUCUCGCUGCCCGGAAUCAAGCUAGAAUGGAUGACGUGUCAACUCCUGAUUGGCAGUUACCAUGUGACAUGUAGUGCGGCAAAGGUGAGCCCUGCCUGGGGCAUUUCCGUAAUUUAAUCCAACAUCCAGUGGUAUUCCACUCGGCAACAAAAGAUCCGAGAUGUGCCGACGGGAGACAGCGCCACGUGUGCGGGACCCACAUAUAAAUCUGUCCACUGCCUUCCACGUAAUAAUCAUAAGAAACUAAUAAUAUGUUUAUAUUAUUACAUCCAUUGUUCUUCCUUUUUCUUAUAUCCAUGGUCUUUCUCCUCCCCUCUUCUUCUGCUUCGCUAAUUUCUAGGGUUUGCGGUCCCCUCGCCUUCCGAUCUUUCCCCAUCCCCGAUCCCAACGCUAAUCCCGAAGACGUGGCCAUAGGAAGGUACGCUUUUUCUAGCAAUUCGCGCUCUGAUCUUUAUGUUUGAGCUUUUUCCGAGAAAUUUCGUUGGGUUUUCAGUGGAGUCACCCGCGUUUUUAAUUCCUUAUGGGCGGAGGAAUUCGGGAUUUUGAUAAAAGCUGGCAUUGAGAUUUGAAGAAUUCUAUUGUGGAUCUUUGUAAAUUGUGCUAGGUUUAAGUUGUUGUGGUAGGUUGAGUUAAUGGAUUUGAAGGAGGAUAAAUCGAAAUCUAUGUUGGAGGAGGUGGGAGAGAGGAAGAAGAGUGAAACCCUAGGAAAGAUGGCACCUUCAGUUGGAAAUAAGGUGGAGGUCAAUGGCGAUAUUGGUCCGGAGGAACAUAUUAAGAACCAUUCCCCGGUUGAAACAGGGGGUGCUGAUGGAGUUAGGGAGGAGAUAGGGAGCGUGUCUUCUUCUGAAGCAAUUUUGUUGUCUCCGGCGGAAGCAAAAGUGAACGGGGAUGGAGUUGGAGUGGGGCAUACGGCUGGUUCGCUGUCAAGGACAAUUGUAUCUCCUCCAAUUGCUGCUUCUGAGGUGGUGGCAUCGAAGCCAACGCCUACGAAGGGGUAUGGAUUAAAGAAAUGGAGGAGAAUAAGGAGAGAUUUGAAUAAGGAUGGAACGACUGGUGCUGAUUCUGCUCAGAUUCUUAAACGCAGGCUUCCGCUCGUGGAGACUCAGAAGGCUCGGGAUGAGCACAAGCAGAAGAGUGAUGGUGAGGAUGAAGGCGAGGGUUCAGUGGCUUCUAUGGAGUCGAGGAAUGCCAGAGGGUCUCCCCUUGCAGUUGCUGGUGGCACUUUGGACCCGGAGCUUGGACUGUUGGUGGCAGCUGCUGGCUUCUCUAUUGGCAUGGAUUCUGAGAAUAGUGAGGACCGAAGCAGCAAGUCUUCAACGGCUGCAAGUGCUCCAAGGCUUAGGCAUGAAGCGGUUGGAUUUGGGAGGGAGAGAGGCAAGGUGAAAAAUUUCGGUGGGAGAGGAUCAGGGAAUGUUGUACAACAAAGGGGUCAACGGGGGAGAGGGGGUGGCUUAGAUAACAUCAAGAAGUUUAGAGGAGAUCAGGUUAGAAUUGAGAAGGAGAAUUCACAUUCUAGUGCAGAGUCUGACUUGAGAAGCUCUAAUGCAGCCUUUGUGCAGAGGGGCAGCAUGGUUAGUAAUGGAAAGCAGAGUGAGAAGUCAGUAAAUUAUGAUGGAGAGAACAGUGAUGAAGCUCAGCCCAGUGAGGAAGUCCGAUCAGCUUACCAUAAAGAGAAUGGGGUGAUUGAAGAUUUAUCAAAGGAAGAUUUAGAUGCUGAAUUAUUGGCAGACAAGAAUGUUGAAAAAAGCGAGAGCCAUCAAUCCCACCCAAAUCUUGAUCCUUUUGUUGAGUCACUUGUUUUGCUUGAGGCAGCUCAGCAAGCUCUGGAAAGCGGUACAGCUUGUAUCUCUUUAUUUACCUUUUUUUUUAGCAAAGAUUAGGCACUGCCCUUAUUUGCUGUUUUCAUGUACAAUGAUUUGCAUCUCUCUUUUCUGCUCUGUUAUUUCAUACUAUAGUUGCUCUUUUAGACGGCAUACUUUCUUCUGUUGUAGAUCAUGUUGUAGACAACGAUGAAAUUGAGUUGCCGAUAGAACAGUAUAUAAAAUGUAGCAUUUGUUUCAUUAUUUAUCCGCUUUCCUCAUUGUGCUAUAGUGGAUGAAGUUAUGGACUGAAGUACUGAGAAUUGACAGUAUUUAGGUUAUCAGACAAGAAGCAUUGGUUUUCUUCAGCGAUUUCAGAACUUGCCCGUGAAAUGUUAAGAAAUAUUUGUUAAUCACAAUACUAUCAUCAUAAAUUUUGAUAACUAUUUCUAACUUUGCUGUCAAUCAUAUUUGGCAAUAUAUUUCAUGACAAGAAGAUUGAAUGUUGUUUCAGUUUUUACCUGAAAAGUUGGGCACCUGGUUAAUUUUGCCAGACCCUUGUUUUGUUAAAACACUUGAACUGAUAUUAUAUCUAAUUUUGUAGAAGAAUAUAGUUCUCGCAUUUCAUGUAUGCUAUUACAUGCAUUUAUGUAUGUAUAUAUGCAUGCAUGCAUAUAUGUGUCUGUAUGCGAUUGAUCCUUUUGUACUAUGUGAGAAUCUUUUGUCCUUUCAUUUUAUGCCUUACAGAAAAUUUUCUCGUAAAGAAACAAGCAACAUAAGAAAGAUUGUUGCAUCACAUCUGGUGAGGAUUUGGAAUGCUCAGUAAUCAUGAAUUGCAUUUUCAUUCACUUUGUCAUGAUAUUUUGCUGGGUCAAAUGCCUUUGCUUUGCCACAUGAAAUAUUGCAAUUUCUGAUUUUUGGGACGGAGAAGUAGUUUUUGCACUCUUUUGAACAAAACAUUAGAGAGAGUUAUCUUGAUUUUUAUCCAAGUCAUGUAAUGUUUUCAUGCUGGAAUUGUAGGUUCAAAAUUGAUGAGUAUAAUUAGCUCAUCUAUGAUGACCAUCUUGGUGAGCAUUUAUGCUCAUGCUUUAUGUAUGCUAUUGCUGAAUGUCUGAAUAUUUUAAUGAGUAUGUGUCCAUGCAUGGUUUAAUGGACACAUGCAUGUUUUUAGAAAAGUUGCUGCCAAGCUCCUGGACAAGCUAUUUGUUUCAUCUUCCAAGUUCUGCCCUGAAACCUUGCACACAAAAUGAAAAAGUAACCCAAAGACAUACAUCUCCAUAAAAUAUUUGGACCUCUCUCCUCUCUCCUCUCUCUCUCUCCUCCCCCCCCCUCUCUGUGUGUGUGCCUGCGUGUGUAUGCCCGUGCCUGCGUGUGUAUUUCUUUCUUGCACUAAUUCAUUCACUCACACAGUAAUGUUCUAGACUAAAAACUAAAAAAGUAUGUGUUUCUAUCAGAAAAAGGAGUCUUUUGAUCAAUACUAAGAAAAAAAUCUCUGAAAGAACACGAACUUUCUCUUGAUCACAACCAUCAAUGAUCCUCUUUUCAUUUACAUUUAUGAUUAGUCCUUUCCAAAAUUAAUUAGAUUAUAAAGGCCGUCUCUAAUAUAUGGUCAAAUCCAUUCAAAAUCCUCAUGGCAUUGAGAUUGCAACCUUUCAGUAACCUUCCAAAUCAUCCUUCGCUACUUGGAAACUCCACUAAGAAUCUAUGAGUGUUGUAACCUUUGGACUCUCUGAUAUGACCACUCCCCGGUAUUCAAAAUGGAGUGUCAUAAGUAUGUUUGCUUGAAUUGUUGACACUGAUGAUGAUUUUUGGGAUGUCAAUGACAUGACUUAUGUUAAAGGAUGUUAAAAGGACAGAAAAGUGCAAUGAAUGAUACUUCUGGUGAAGUAUGAAAAUAACUCUUAUUUUGAAUAUAACAUAAUAAAAUUUGAUAUUACUGAGUACUAUUGACUAGUCAACUGGCUAUACUAUUAGCAUAUUAGAUAUAUAUUAUUAUUUACCUUUUUGAAGGACCUUUGGAGGUCCAAGUGAUUGGUACUUAGGACACCUUGAAACUUAACAUUGUUAUCCUACUUAAUCAAGUCCUUCCUCGAAUACUUCACAACCGCAUAAUACUUUUUUAUUAGUAGUCCUUGUAUGACCUAAGGUAUAUGUGCUGUAUGUUGUAUAAGCUAUCAAAUAGGUGAUGGUGCAAGGUGCAAAUUUACACAUGGAAAUCAGAGAAUUCAUGAAGUGUGCUAGCAUUUGUUAACUUUACAUCAUUUCAUUCUUAUCACCAUGCAUUUGCAUGUCAUGGAUUCCAAUCAAAGGCUACUUACAAAUGCAUACUUCUAUUUACAAAUGCAUACUUCUAACCUAAAGUUAUCUUGAUUUGUCAUGCAUUUUAAUCAAAGGCUAUUUUUGAAUGCUUUCUCAAACUUCAGGUAGGCUUUUCAGCUUAUGCCUUCUUGUCGUUGUCAUCCCAUCUACCUUCUGUUGCAGUUAGAUUAGGCAUUAGAUUUAUGACUCAUCUGGAUUUCUUUUUCUAGGGUAAAAUAACAGCUGAAACCAACAAGAUCUAUCUUCUGAGCGUUUGUUUUUAGCUUAGAAGUAUGCAUUUGGGUCUCUUAGGCAAGCCACAUCUUGUGUGUGCCUAUGAUGCACAAACAGGUUUAUUUUACCCAGGGCAUCAUGGACUGAAGUUGCAAUAUGAGGAUAUAGGGAUAUCUUGUCUUUUAUAGUAAGUUAUAGGUUUAAAAUAGGCUUCCUAAAUACUUCAAUAAUUAUGGCUUAUAUACAUACUGCAAGGUCAUUCCCAAGGAUCGUGAAAACUGUUAAUAAAGAUUUCAAUUUAUUUAUUUUUUAUUUCUGGUGGACUCCAAACUUACUAUGGACUUUCUUAGGCUUGAUAUUGCUUGUAUGACCAUGGAUUCAGUCGGCAUAUCAUUCCACUCUAUGUUCCUUGAAUUAGAUCUAUAACAAUCUUGAAAUUUAGAUCUAUACUACUUGUGGAUCUGUUCAUCAAGGAUCAGUAUAUAUUAAAUUGGUAUAAUAGCAGUAAGAUUCUUAAAGUAAAUCCAUGUCAUAUUUUUUGCCAACAUGUCGAUGGAUGACAAAUCCCACAGUGAGAUCCAACAAUGUGAUAAGAGAUCUGAUUAGCUGCAUUGUAUUAUUACCUGGAUGUAAGAGCAAAUUGAUGAGAAAGAAAGGUGAAGAGUUAAUGGUUAAAUGAUUGAACAGACUAGUUCAAGGAACUGAAGAUUAAUUAAUGAAAAAAGAUCAUUCAUACCAGCGUCAAAGAAUAAAAUUGUUGAAGAUCAAACAAAUGACAAGUUGAUAGUACCAAAUGGAAUAUCAUUAGAAGAGCCAUUAGGAAGCAUGGCAGCAAAAAUAGUGUUCUAUAAUGGUAAAGAUUAAGAGAUCAACUCAUCUUUCAUCAAAGAGUAUGAAGAUCUGAUUGAAGAACUGUCAUUACAUUUGAACUGAUUAUUCACAUUUCCCUAGGAUCAUGAUAGCAUUUCAAUUCUGGGAUGAUUACAAAGUUUAAUGAUUUGAAGAAUUCCUUGGUGUCUGUCUUAAAGAUCAGCCAACAUGUUCAGUGGUUAGGUUUGACCAUUUCCACGGUUUCUCUGUCCGUUCUCAUGCAGACUUGAAAUUGAUUACAGCAUUUGAUUUUGGCAAUCAAAAAAUGAAGCAUGUAGUUAUUCAUAAAUAUCCAUCCCUGCAAUUGUAACUCAUAUCUAGCAUUACUUAUAGAAAGUCAUAUUCACAGUAUUUGAUUAUGUAUGUAAAUCUAAGUGUGGAGCAUGUGGCUGUUCAUAAAUAUCCAUCCCUGUGAUUGUAUCUCAUAUCUAGCAUUACUUGAGAAGUCGCAUUCACACAAUUUGAUUAUGUCAAUCUGAGUGUGGAGCAUGUGGUUAUUCAUAAAUAUCCAUCCCUGCAGCUGUAACCUAUAUCUACCAUUACUUAUAGAAAACUAUAUUUACAUAAUUUUUAGGACUAGACAUAAAGGCUCAAUCUGCAUCAAACUGUUAGGGCUCAUUAUGUGUUUGCUGCAAGGUUCGCUGUCACGGUACUGUACCCCGUACAAGUGCCACACUAGUACUGUAUCGGUAAGUACGGUACGAAAUCUUUUUGGCAUACUGAGCGUCGGUACAGUAUGGUAUGCCCCGUACCACCUGGUUCAAGCCGGUACAGAAAACCAUGAUUUGCUGUUUUUUGACUAUAUUUUGUUGGUAUCAUGCUCAUUACUUUGCUUGGUACAAGUCUCAAGCUUUCUCCGGCAAUUCAUCUCUUAUUUUCUUCUCGUUCCUACUUCCUAGCUUUACUACACAUAUAUGUGCUCUUCUGUUAUGAUCCUCUAAUGCGCUUGUGCAUGCUAAGUGUCUUAAGAUAUCUAUUUCAUCAAGAUAUCUAUUUCAUAGGACCUUGUAUCUCAUAUUAUAAAAUUUUCUGCAAGCAUCUUACUCUCUUUUAUUGAAGUCUUUCUCUAAUACAGCAUUAGCUAGAACAUGUGGUACUGAAUUGUUAGAUGACUGGUCAAAAAGGACUUCAGGCUUGACUGAAGUUAGCUGGUUCUGCAAGAUCCUUAUGUCAUAUUAAAUAGCAAUGUAAGAAAGUCGUUGUUUAGAUCAACAGUUGCAAACUUAUCGGUAUAUGAUGCUAUGUGUCAAGCUUUUUUUAUAUGAUUCUGAUUUCUAAGUUAAACAGAUAGUUGUAGUUCAUGCUGCUUUAAGUGUUAUAUUCUAUUACUACGGUUAGCUUUUAGGUUGAGACUAUGCCAGCAAUGAACAGAACUCUGUAAUUGCUUGGAAUAUUUUAUGAUUUGCCUGUGUUUGCACAAAGGACUAUGCUUCAUCACAAACUGAUCAUUUUUGUCUGUUAUGUUGUCCCUGUUCAGAAAUUGAGAAAUUCGGAGAAAUUGAGGAACCAGGCCUUGAUGACUUUGAUGAUGAUUAUGAAGAAGUGGAAGGUAGUAGUUCCCCAUCUCCUGAAGCUGAUUCAAUCCAAUUGAAUCAAAGGAUCGAACAACUUCAGUAUAAACUGGAAGAAGCAUUAGCAGCUGUCAGGUCUAGAGAAUCAAAGGUGCUUGAACUUGAAGCAAUCCUCAACAGAACUGAGUUGCCAAGAAAGGAAAUAGAGAACACUGAUCCACCAUUACUUAAAGAGAAGUGCAAGGAGAUGGAGUUUGAACUUGAGAGCCUGCUUGAGAAGAAGAUAGAGAUAGAAAUCGAGUAUUUGAUCAUGACAAGAGCUACUCGAAGCUGGAAAGUCAUGGCAGAAGAUCACAUUGCUCUCCUUGAGGACCAGAAGUCUCUUGCUGGGGAUCAAAUGCAGCUUAUGCAUAAGUUGAGAGAUACUGAGGUUAAGGUGACCAUGUUGACAGGGCAAAUGGGGGAAUUAGAGGCUUACUGUGCAGAGCUGGUAGGGGCCGAAGAGGUCUUGCGGCUGCAGAAUGAAGUCCUUAAGUCUUCUCUCUGUUGCUUUGUUCAGCUGGUAACGUUGUUUAUCGUAUUUUGGUGGUUUCUCAUGCAGUUGUUGCCCCCAUCUAAUGGGGUUGUGCCCACCUAAAUUUUGAAAACAACCCUCAUGUACUUCUAUCAGUUUCAGAAGAAGUUUGUGUGUAAGAUGUUAUUAGGCAAAUAUGAAUAUAUGUGCUUCCUUCUUAAUAUUCUUUAGCAACGAGUCAAUAAAUUUGCUAAUUGCAUCACAUUUUUCCAGAACAAGUGAUUAGUACCGCUUAAUACUUGUGCUGCAAUUCCAAAGAGUUCUUUUUAUACAUUAGCAUAAUAGAUCAGCAAUUGGUUUCUUCUCUGGUACAGGUGAUUGACAUUUACCUUGCCUUGACAAACAUGCAACUCAGGUCAUUUAGUUCUACAUUUCUUUAUAGUCCGCUCUGGCAGUCUUUGCAAUGUUCUGAACAAAAUUUUUCACUGUGCUGUUUAUUUUCUCUUUUACUAUGAAGCAGAAAAGUUUGAGAACUUAUAGCUACCAACCAGUUAUAGCUGCCUUAAGGAUUUUAUAGGAGUUCUGCCCCAUGGACUUGGCUUAGAUGGUUAGGUUAUAUGCCUAUUCUGUGAUGGUCAUCAAAACUUCCAAAAUGCUGCAUCUGGGAUGCUGAGCUAUACAAUUUUUAGAGCAAUCUUCUUUUGCUGCGAUCUUCUGAUAAUGUUCCAUAUGCACUUACUGGUUGAUGUAAAGGUAGGAAUAGAACCUGCCAGCUACCGUGUUCAUCUCAGCUUCUAUCCCAGUUUAAUCCUCAUGGUGCUCAGAAGAACUCUAACAGGGCAGGUGAUAAGGAACUUUUAACCUUCUUCAGCUUUCUUAUUUGAUAUGCAUUCCCCGACAUGUAUCGAAAGCAGAUGCCGGCGCAUGUGACAUAAUGGCUGGAAGGUUUCAUGGCACAGCAGAUGGCAAGACAUUUUUCAAGACAACAUCCAAGGCUUUGUUAAGCAAAGGUCUUAUACUGAACUGAACAGUGGAAGCUUGUUGAUCUAUAUGGUAAUAUGUCCAAAUUUGCCCAAUUGAUGGUGCUUGAACAAUUUCAAGCCGUUAUUUCAUUCUAGAGCUUAUGUGUGAGAUUCGGUCCAAGGCAUGACCAUCAAUUACCAACAUAGCCGACCGCUAUCCACAUUAUGAUCGUAUGCAACUAUGAGGGUCAUCUGGGAGUUGUUUUAGGUCUUCUUGCUUAUCCUCAGUAGAUAUGCUUGCAGAUAUAGUUUAUUAACCGUAAGCCAUCAAUGGUGGCAACUUGCACAGCGCAACUAUUUAGGACUAAAAUUAGAUCAGAUACUAGCAUAUUCAUAUUUAUUUAUAUUUGUUUUAUUUGACGAAUAUAGAUACGCAUUUUAGUGUGGCUAUUUAUUUAUUUUAAAAGUUCAUAAGUUCUAUAUGGGUUACAAAUGGAAUCAGAUAUCUAUAUUUUUUUUUAAUGGAUAUUGAUAUAGAUACAAAUAUUAGUCAAAUGCUCAAAUUUUUAUCCAUAUCCAUAUAGAUUUGGAUAUAAAAAUGCUUCCAAACGGAGAUUAUUAGAUCCGCUUUCACCCUUACAACUACCCCAUCCUUUGCUUUUAUGUUCGUGUUGCAUUGUUGUGACCAUUCAGUGAUGGACCUUAUCAGUGGCUCCGUAUCAAGAGACCAUCUCUGCUCUCUUUCUACUUGAGAAUUUAGCCACUGUUCUUUGAACGCAAGCACUGUUAAGAUAGGAACUUAUGAAAUGAUCAAUGAGAAUUAUGUUUGCAGAGUAAACCGUUUAUAAAAGUGAAUUGGUAACUCAGAAAUGUCACUCAAAAAUCUCAGUUUUGCAGCUUUCCAAAUGUUCUUUCCAAAUUGACAUCACUUGUUUUUCUAGUGAGAUUUCUAAGAUAUACUAGCAUUGAUUCAUUUUAUAAAUAAAAGUAGCCAAUAUGCCAUUUCUUGCUCAUUAUGCACAUCAAUGGGCAUAUCAACUGGCAAAUGGCAAUCCAUACAUGCCUCCCGAGUUCACAUGACUGCAAGCAGUUAUCGAUCGAAUCUAGUCAAAUUUUUGUAAUGUUAAUUACAAUCCAUGGAUCUUUUUUUUCUUUUUUGAUGUAAUCCAUGGAUCAUUUUUAACAUGCCAUCCGGCAAUAUAGUCAAGAUGAGGGAGCUCCGAGUUGUAGGAUAGGCUUGCAUGGUGGAAGAAUAUGUUGUGCUUGCAAUAUCCCGAUCUAGAAGAAUUUCGACUUUGAUAACUGAACGAAAGCAAGGUGCUUAAGACUAUAACAGGAAGAAUGCUAGUGAUUCCGGCCUGUAGGCUAAAUUGGUUGUGGAUAAGCGUGGAGAAUCACUUAAAAUGAUGCUUCCUGAAAUUGAGUGAUAUGAGUUCAUUAUCUAAUCAAGUUAAAUAGUGCCCAGAUAUCAACUUUAAGUUGUAAUCCUGUACAUCAUUUUCACAAUAUUUGUUUCAUAGUUUUUAUCGAUGAAUCUUUCUCCAACCAGAAGAAUGUCUCAUUCUAAUUUGAAUUGUAUCUUUUAUCCUUUUCUUAGGACUGAUCCGCUCGCAAGCCUUACGCAAUCGAUUGGAUCGCAUAGAUAGCUUUUCAACAUAACAUAGGUCAUCAAAAGGAUCUUGGACAACUCAUUAAAGUACAAAAACCAAGUCAGAAAAUUGAUUCCAAUUUAAAGAGUGCAUAACCUCACGGAUGAGCUCACACCAACCCGUUGAUUUUGGAUCGUAGCAAGUUUUUGAUGCUGAAAUGAAUGGCAUUCCGAUAGAGCCAUUUGCAGUCAAUGUUGCAUUUGAUAAUUUCCGGGCUGGGUUAACAUGAACUAGAUAUAGUCCAAACUGGGAUUUGGUCAGUCAAGCUUUAUGAAAAUCUGACUCGGUCAGACUUGGGCUGAAAAUGUGAGCCUCAUUUUGAGUCCACUUAGGUUUAUGCUAGAGACUAGAUCAAAAACUACCCCUAAACUUGAACCCCUAAUUCUGAGCAAACUUACUCCAAACCAAUCCAAACCUAAGGCAGUCAAUUGAGCUCAUUGCUAAAAUGGUAGGUCUACAUGAGCCAAUUAGGCGUUGGGUGUUUUAAUUUGUCAGGUUGGAACUCAUUGGUCCUCGACCUAUGCCAAAUUGCACUCCUCAGUGUUUUAUGAGCUUAUUUUGAUGUGAUGAGACCUGAGAAUAACUGCCAUAUUUUGUAUAACUAUGAAAUCAAAUAUCCUGAAUUUUCCAGGACCUAAAAAACAAAAAGCAGAACUAUUAAUUUUUCUAUCAUAUUCACAAUUGAAGCUAAAUAAUCUCGAUCGAUAUAAACAUAUGUAUAUUCCAGGCAAAUAAUGUUGUUAAUGCACACUCUAAACAGCUGAAAAAUCAUCUGCUCCUGCCAAAGAAAUAUGGAAUUACAUAGCGAAAAAAAAAGACCAAAAUACAUUGGCUACAAUUUUCAUUUUGCACAAGCACCUUCAAUAUCAAGCUUAAAAGAUUUUGAGAAUUUUAGAUAAAGAAAACUUGGGUACCAUAAUUAUCUACAGAUCAAAGGGUCAUCAACUAAACCUUUAAUGAAGUUGAUGCAGAUAUUUACUCCAAGAUUGCACUCGACAUUGCGUAAACUUUUUCCUCAUCGCAAGAAUUCAGGCUCCUCCGGGAAAGAUUUUAAUUGAAAAUAGGGAAGGGCAUGGAUUGAUAAUCCAGCAAUUAGUCAGUUUUUGCUAGUGAUCUCAGAUGGAAUGUCCUAUUACCUCCUUCAUUUGUUACUUAGAACAUGAGCCCAUAUAUGUGUGCAUGCACACGUGUAUGUGCAUGUAUCCUUGCGUGCAAGUGUGCGAACAUGCAUGCAUAAACUUGACUGGCAUAAAUUUUAGAAUACUAGCAAAGUCUAACUAAAUUGUAAAUUGGCCAUAGCAUUAAAUAUAUAACUAUCUAAUACAUUUCGUGCACUCGCUAUAGGAAAGCUAUAUCCCAACCUCAUAUGCUUUGUUAUUUAAGCUUUGAAUACUCACAACACCCACAGAGAGAGAGAGAGAGAGAGAAAGGAAUUCAUGUGUCCAGAAUGGAUAAGAUAAAACAAAAGCCUACACUAACAUCAUUCUAACCAUCAUCCAUAGUUCACAUUGUUUAGAUUAAUCUGAAAUGUUAAAUAGACAAUAUGUAAAAUGGAGUGGUUAGUUUUCCCUUGCUCUUAUUUUGUUGUUCACAACACAAAAUAGGUCAUAUAUAUACACACAACACACACAUAUUGAGGAACAAUGUUAAAAAGUUCACAAUGUUAGAUUAAUCUCCAUUAUCUAUGCAGGAUUACAAUGUCUUAAAUUUAAUUUUUACUAGCAAAACCAUAAAUAAAAUGGAACAACCCUUUAUAUAUAUAUAUGACCCUUACUUGAAUAACCAAAAUGGAUGGAUCGAUUGUCCAAACUCUUAAACAAACUUGUCCAAGAUGCUCCUAUCAAACAUGGAUCAGAAGGCAUCUUAGAGAACAAAGUUAUCAUAAUGGUAGCUUUUAGGAUGUCUUGGUUCAGCUGUACUGUAAACCUAAUGAGAACUUCUCUUCCAAGCAAUAGCUUCAUAUUUGGCAGCUUUAGGCAUGGAAUGUUCCCAUAACGAUGGACCACACUGACGGUCAUGGUUUAAUAUCCCUUCAAGUUCAAUACCACUUGAAAUAAAAAUCUCAGUUAUCUCUAGUGGUAUUGGAAGACAUUCCAAACUCUUAGAGAGAUGGAGCUUUAUCUUUCACAAGGAAAUAACGAAUCAAUUUACUCGACAAAGAUGUUGAAAUCCAGAGAUUUACCAUUCAAGCUUUAUUAUUUAAUAACAAGUUUAAAGCUUCUCUCUGUAUCUUUUAUGUAUGGCCACCCACACCCACUCCUUAAAGCCCAUUAAGUGGGGUAAGUGGGACACUGCAGUGGAGUACUUUCACCAAUCACCACAAACAUCAAGGAGCCAUCUGGGUUCGUAUUCUUGAAAGCUACAUGCUCAUAUAUAUAUAUAUAUAUAGAUAGAUCGAUUGACGAAAGAUAGAAUUUUCUUUUGCUUGGAUCAGUGGAAGAGGUGAUUGGAUGGGGGCUCUUGGAAGUUAAGGAGAGAGCGUGAGGAAGGUGGGGAUGGCCUCAGAGUCAAAUCAUUCGUAUAAGGGUUGCUUUCAGAGGGUCACGAGAAUAUGUCAACAAGCAGUUAAGUUCCCCUUUCUUUCACCAGAUACUUGGGUCCAAAGGUGAAGGGGGCGGACCCAUACUUUCCCACCUAAACCAACACAAACUAAAAUCCUUGUGCUGAUAUAUAUAUUGACCUCCAUUAUACAGUGUUCAGCAACUGGGACUAUGUGCAUUUGAUCAAAAGUUUAUGAACUCUGGCACAGCUCAAGACGAUCAACUUAGCUUCGAAAGCAUUUGAUAGCUGUCUGUUGUUUUUGGAGCAAGAUUUCGAGUUCUUUAGAAUACUUGUUGUUUUCUAUUUUGUGUUUGGUGUUGGUGAACAGCCUUUUAAGACAUGAUAUACCAUUGAAUAUGAUGAUUUGCUGUUGAGUUUUCUUCAUUUUCUACAGUAAUAAAUAGUGCAUAUUCCUUUGAAAUAUCUCUCUGUAAUUAUGUUUAAUUCUUCUAUAUUUUAAAAGAAAUGCAAAAUUUUGUCACGAGAAUAUUUUGCAUAUUAUGUAUAACUUCUUCUUUUUUGCUUGUUAUUGAUAAUGUUAAACUUGAUAAAAGUACCAACAAGGGUGAAACUGGAUGACCCAUAAAUAAGUAGAUUGAAACAACAGACACAUAGUAGGCUUGGAUGAGCCUUAUGACCAUAUAUACCAGUAAAAUGUUCUAAAUAAACGGCAGAAUUUCCAUCAUAUUUAUGAAAAGAUGUUUUUUUUAUAAAAAACUAGGUAUCAUGUUCCUUCGUCCAAUAAUCAAAAUAAUUAGUAGUGUGGUCCCUAUUCUUCAAAUCAUAUUAUCUAACAGAGUAACGCAUGAGAUGAAUAUAAAAUAGCAUCCACAUAAACCUCACUUAGAAUGCUUGAAGUUCCAGUAUAUACUUUUCCUGCGUCUCCCAUUCCUUUUGGUGCGUAUACUUUAUGCUUGUGACAUCCACUUCAUGAGCUAUUCUCUUGGACAGCUCCUGCACCGGGACAAAACAAGCAUUUCAAAAAAAGGGCUGUAGCUUAUGGAAUGGCAUUACUUUUUGGCAGAUAGAAAUAACUUGCCCCAGUGUCCUGUUUCUAGUAGAUACAUGUUCAAGGACAAGAAGAUUGCAUGCCAACAGAAACUAAUAGAACAACAGUGACACUGAAUACCACAAUCACCAAAUAUAGCUUUUAGUUAUCAAAUUGGUUCUUCCUCCAAAAAAACCAAAGAAAAAGAAAAAGCGAAAAGGCCACCAUUGUUCCCCAGUCACCCAACUGCUGCAUCAGAUGGCAUUUGCAGAGGCUGGGAAAAUAAGCACAAGCUUUAUGGUAAUCAAGGGAGGGGAAGAGAGAGAGAGCCAAGUUUUUUACCAGCUCCACUGUCAACUAAAGCACAAAAUUUGAUGGAGCUUUUAAUAUAGCCAACUAACCAAAACUAGAUUGAAGGUUCCAAUAUCAUCUGUUCUUCAGCCUCAAGCUUUGGUAGCUCAUUGAGGUCAAUGUCAAGCAACCCUUUGUUUGCCUCCUUAACACUCUCAGAUGAUGAUGGUGCAGGCGAGGGUGCCGGCGUCGACGGUGCAGCCGGCAAAAGUGGAGGAUGAUUCACAGGGCCAUUCCAGUGCCUCCUCAUGUGCCCACCAAGAGCCUGCCCUGUCGGGAACGAGGCAUGACAAAGGGUGCAUUGAUGCUCUGCGGUCGCAGCUCUCGGCACCGCACCCUUUGAAUCGACCAGCUCUUCGGCAUCGGCUUCCAUCCCAUCCAUGGCCACCACCUCCUCUGAAUUGUUCUUGUUCUUGUUGUGACUAGCUCUGUGACCCCCCAGUGCUUGGUGGGUAGAGAAAGACCUGUUGCAGCUGCUGCAGUGGUACCUUCUACCUCGAGUUGGUGGGCUUGCUUCGUUCGCCGCCGAUUCCAGAUCCUUGAUCCUCUUCUUCUUCACUUUUCUUCCGCAUGCCGACGGGCUGCUUGAUGCUUCUACGUUUCCAUCAUUGCCAGCCUCCAUUUCAUCAUCUUCAUUCCCAUUCAUAAGUUCAGAAUGCAUGGCAUCCUUCAGCUGCAGUCCUUUAGCCUUUGUGUCUUCCUCAUCCAUCUCAAUUCUGAUAUCAGCCAGUAUGGAUUUCCUGUUCCUAUGUCGAAGCCGAUCAAUUUCUCGCGGUAGAGUUGGUGUAGGCGCGAGAUCGUUGCCCCUCGAUAGCUGCAGCAGAAUCCUAGCCGCAUUGGAUUCAGGGUCGUUCGACUCGAUGAUACCUUUGCGACCUCUCUUCGCAGUCACCGACCACUUUGCAGCAGGAAACGCGAGGUCAGAUGAGGAAUCGAUGCCUCUUUGGAGCUUGUUCUUCGCUUCAGGUGGCCGAUUCGCUCCCCGGUAGCCCCUCUGAGGAUGGGAUCUCAGGUGACCAUAUAAUGCUUUCAAUGAAGGGAAGGUCUUCUUACACUCAGGACAAGUAGGAGGCUCCUCGGCGGCCAUGUUCGCAUCUUCAUUCUUGCUCUCGGAGCUCGCAGGGUCCUCGGCGACAGCUUUUUCUGGGACGUUCUCUUCUUCCAUUUUCGCAAGAAAUCCAUCAUCAUCUCCACGAUGGUGGUCUGGCGAUUCGAUAUGUUUAUCUCGAUCAUCUGCGAGCUCUCCAUUGGAGAUACGGUGAGCUCUCAUAUCACCAUCAGAAGCUCCUUCUAAGCUCCAAUCAGAGGAGAGCGCUCCACGAGCCACUUCCUCAUUCAGCUCGCAAGCCUUCUGACACUUGAAUCGAAUCCGAAGCCCGUUCUUCGCUAGCUUUUGUUUCGCGGCGACGGAUCCAUCUUCUGGCCCCAAUGCAGCAGCUUCACUCUGGUAAUAACUUCCCCCAUCCAUGGGAUGAGCUCCCAUUACUAGAGAACAGAAGAGCUGCUAAUCUAAUCUCUCGAGCAAGUCAAGGUAUGUGAACCGAAACAAAUCGAAAGCUUUAUCCCAGAAAACCUAACUCGCUCUUGAUUACAGGUAGCUUCCUCCUCUCUCUCCCUAUCAGUUUCCAAUAGCCCAAGAAACCACCACGAAUCCGAAAACAGGGCUUCUUAGAGAAGUUCUGCGGACAAUAAAUACAAUAAAAACUCCAUCUUUAGCGAUCGGCAAAACUGAAAACGAGCUUCUGAAAGAUCAUCCCGAGAGCUCAUCGUAUUCCCCUGGGACUUCAAAGGAAGAAUUCAAAACAGCAGCAACCGAGCUGAAGAAGGUCCGGAUUCCAGCUGAAACAGAGAAAAAGAAGCCACCUUUUAGUAUAAUCAAUUAUCGAAAUCAACAUGCAAAGAAACCAUCAAUUAAUCCGAGGAAAAAAAAAACGAUGGUGGAGAUUACCGGAUGAGCUCAGAACCGUCUGCAAAGAGAGGAAACGAGUGACACCCAGUAGAUUUCCCCAACCCCCCAGCUCAACGGAGCUAGCUUCCCACUAGAUUAGAUCCAGAAGGGAAUAGUUCGGAUGGAGGAGACUGAAAAGAGAUCGAAAGAGAGCAAAAACCGCCACCUAGAUUGGAAAAGACAGCUCCUUUGCUCCGAAGAAAGCGAGAUGGAUCGAAAAAAAAAGCUCGAACUUUUUCGGGCUUUUCCCCACCACCAGCAAUGAGAGAGAGAGAGAGAGAGAGAGAGAGAGAGAGAGAGAGAGAGCUNNNNNNNNNNNNNNNNNNNNGAGAGAGAGAGAGAGAGCUCUGGAGAGAGAACAGAGGAGGAGAAGAGGAGAGAAGAGGAAAGAGUGGCAAGAGGAAGAGCAAGAGAGAGGGAGGAGGGAAAGAGGAGAGAUGAUUUCGGGGAUCCCGGUAGGUCGUGGUCGAGGCUUCGACCCCACGACUCUCUCGCUGCCUCUUGCCAACAAUAAAUUGGCUCCCGCCAAUCACUCGAUUUCCUUUCGUGCGUUACCAUCGCGUGGGGUUUCGUUAAGGCAGAUAGAAACCGACUCCUUCCAAAUAUAGAUUCGUAGCCAUCAGAUCAUGGUAAUAGAUUUAGAUAGAUCCUAAAAUCCUCAAAGUUUUAUUUUAAAGAGAAUCCCUAUCAGUUAUUAUAAUUUCCAUCCAAUUUUCCUCUUUCUUUCCUCGUCAAAGCUUCCUUUUUGAAUUUUUCAACUUUGUAUGAGACUUUUUUUUCUUUUACAACCGCUCUUAUUACAUCUCCCUUGAAUUGAAACAAUCCAUGCCCGUAGAUUCGUCUCUCUGUUUGUAGCAUAUAUUUCAACAUCUGCUGGUUAGGACUAUUGCAUCAUAACCGUCGAAUUUGAUUAAUCGAUAUAGUUAUUUUUUUAGUACGGCCAAUAAAAUUUGUGCAUACCAAGAGCUGCACAUCAACAAUAUUGUAGAGUUGUAUACACUACCUUUAACUUGGUUCCUUGGCCAAGUCAGGAUUGUAUUGUGACAAUUAAGUAGAACUGUAUAGUUACGAAGUGCAUCUAGCAUGGUUUUGUUGGUGAUGUGAAUCAUGUAUCACUCUCUCUUUGAGUAACAAUGGCAUCUCUCUAGAAGGCACAUUCUACAUGUAACUGGAGCACUUUAGUCUUACCAUAUUGAAUUUGCAUGAUAAAUCUAUUUGUAGUGCACUACACAAAGAUGAUGAUGCAUUUGAGACAAUAGAUUUAUUUAUUUUUUUGUUUGCUACAAUGAAUGGUUUAUAUAUUUUUAGUAUGGAUGCAUCUAAAAGUCAAAAAAAUCAUAAGUCUCGGAGCACUCGGAGUGAUCAGCUACAUACGAGGCUACCCAAUCCAUGACUCACUAACCUUUUUAUAAAUUUGCCACCUACUUAUUAGUAUUUAUAGAGGUUCAUGCAUUCUUGCUUUUGUUUUGUUUUGGUUUGCUACAUAUUAAGCUUGCUUACAAUGCGUGAUGGAUUUUUUAAAUGUUUGCACGAUGCAAGGAGAUAUUCUUUUCCACGUAUACCUAGAUUAUGUUGGACAAACACAAAAGGGAUAUGCGUUUCUACGGAAUGGGAGCAAUCAAUGCACCCUUUUCUUUUCUUUUCUUUCCUUUUGUAGAAUAUGAAAAAAGAAUGUAGAAGACAAAAAGGCAAUAUUAUUAUGCAUGGUUCUAAAGUAUAUAUUUUUUAAUAUACUUUAAAAAAUACUGCCUAUUAGGAGCUUGUUGUAUAUAUUAAUCUUAUUUGCAUUAAUUAAUUACCAUAAAUUUUAAUGUCUAUCAGGAUGGUACUAAAGGAAUAUCGGUGGUAUUCAGGGAACCUAAUUAACAAUAGAAUGGCAUUUACAUAAUUAAAAUGCGGGAGAAUGAUCAUGGCCUUGGAGUUGACCAGGAAGUGAAAAUGGGAAUGGUACAGAUUAUAUAUAUGAUUUUAAUACAGUGUUCCAUUAUCGUGAAUGCCUAAUAGAAAGCUAUCAAACUCACCAUGGAAAAAUAGUAAACACAUAUAGGACAUAAACACCAAAUGAAAGUACUCAACUUACUCUGUGAUGUUCUACAAAUAGAUGUGUGUUUUUGGCUAGUGAGGAUCCAGUGAACCUUCGCAUCGCUUCGUAGAAUAGACACAAUACAGCGGAAUAUAUAAUAUAUAUAUACUAAUUAUCAACCCAAGAUACUUGCAUAGAUCUCAAUUUUAACAAAUAUUUUAUGCAUAAGAUAAUUAUGCUGUCAUAUAUAUAUAUAUAUAUUAUAUAAAACAUAAUAUAAUCUUUUUCUGGUUGAUUUUUUUUGUGAGAAUAUCCCUUGACUAAUAGUUGUAUAACAAUUAUUGAUGAUCAGCAUUAUUCAAAACUUUACGAUCAAGUAAUUGGUGGAUCGUAGUUGUCAUCUUGUCGACCUUUAAAUGUUUCCACUCCUAAGAUCCGAUUGUCCUCUUUAGAGUUACUACAAUCUAGUGAACCUUAUUUUCCGAAUAAUCUUUUAGUUUGACAACCUUACAUGUCUUUCUAAUGACAUUCACAUUCCAUAUUAAAGGUCAUUUUUUUUAUCACCAUCAAUAAAUUAACUUAUUACGGCACUCUUAACAUGUUUUUACUCCAUUAGAACCUAAAUGGGAGUUCUUUCUCUUUGUUAGUAUUUUUUUGGUUCCAAAUAACUUUAGUAAAUUAUUCAAUAUGUACUUUUUUUGAAGGCUGGAUUCACCACUAACAUCUUUCACAUGAAAGAAGGAUUCACCUUCCAUCGUGCGAAUCCACUAUUGGAUCGCAUAAUGGUUGCUUCGAGAUGUAUGCAAACAUAUGAAUGAAGAAGUUUGGAGUACUUCGAAAUUUGCAUGAGGCUUGAUCCAAUGGUCAACGUCAAACCACACCCAUAGAGUCCUUAACAGUUUUUGCCCCUUGAUGUAUUAAGAGCCUUCCUUUUGGCAAUAAUUUUCUACAAGGCUAGUUGUCUGAAAUUCAUGCAAUUGGCUCAUAUUGUAAAUUUUGAUAGGCUGAAAAGAUUUUUCCUUCUUUUAAUUUAAAAUCACUCUUCUGUUCAUUAGAUGUGGGCAGGAGUAUCCCCAAGGCGAUAAUUUCAUGAUCAUCAAUAUGUGAUGCGCUUGACCAAAAAUAAUAGGUUAGAUAGACCUUAUACAAAUGUAUUAAACUGCACCAAAAAGAUUUACACAGCCACCAUCUGGGUACAACAUUAGCAAAAAUGAAAAUUAGUAUAUAUAGCAACUAUUAUUCUUGGUUUAUUAAUAUGUUAUAGAAAAUAUUUUUCAAAGUAACCAUGUAAAGUUAUAUGAUUUUAUCUAAGGGUUAAAUUAUUAACUCGCCAUUGAGAUUUGCAGCUAGGAUAAUGAAACCCACAGCCACUUCCUUAUCACUUUGUGGGAGAAUUAUGUUCUUACCUAUUUCCCAGAUCGUACUUUAACUUUGACUUGAUUUUUACCGCCCUCAUCGAGUGAAUCAACUUCCAAGGAUACCCGCUUGAAGUUGUGUUGACUGUGGAAUCUCCAUAAAUGCCUAAACUCUAUGAAAAUAAGAUAAUUCUACUAAAUUAUAGAAAUUUUAAUUCCACCAAACUAUAGAAUUAAACACUCCCAUCAAAAAUUUCCAUUCCUGAAUUCAUGUUAUUGGUGCAAAUGAACCUCCCACCUAAAGAUCCAUUUUUUUUUGUUAUAUAAAAAUCUUCUCUUUUUUUUUUUGGUAUAACGGCGGCUGACACACAAUGAGCGUGGAUGCGACUAGCAAAAUCAGAAAACAAAAAACUAUAUAAAGGUCCUGGUACAACCUCACUAUCCAUUCAUACAAAGUCUCCAGAGUAGUGAGCCAUAAAAGUCCUUCAAGGAUGAUGAUGUGAAGAAGAUAUAGUCACAAAGCAUGCUGAUGCACAUAACCACCCAAAAUCCCCUCCAAAUUGAUGGUUUGAAAUAAUCUAAUUAAACCCCUUGGCAGCAUUUCUACGUGCAUGUUAUUUUUCUUUUAGGAAAAAAAAAUAUCGAAAAGCCUUUUUUUUCCCUUAAUUUUCUAAUAAGGCACAAUGACCUUCAUAAAAUUAGAAAUGAAUGGUGAGGUUCCUUUACAAUGCAAUUGAUUUCGGCGAAGGGAUUUUUUUUUUUUUUUGACAUGAAAGGGAGGCAAAAACCAACCAUGAUUUAUUGAGAUAGAUGGAAGUAGAGGAUAAAUCUCUUAUGGGAAGGGAAUAUUUCUGAGGAAGGGAACAUCUAAAUGGCUUUUAGAUUGUAAACUUCCAAGAAUAAUAACCAAGCAUCAGGUUGGAACUUUCCCAUCUUUUUUUUCUUCUCUUUUUCUUUGAUCCUUUGGACUGUUUUUCUAACACUGACCGGCGGACCAAACUUAGCUGCCAAGAUAUCUUUGGAUCACCGAUAAUGACCAUAUAGAUUACUUAGUCAACUUAAUUUUUAUUUAAUAUUUUAGAGUUCUCCUACCUUUGUCAUCAUAGCUGUGAGGUUAAUACUUUUCUUAGGCUUUGACCGUUCCUAUUCGUCCCAUCGAUCCCACCCACUUCCGUAUUAAAAUUGAUUGGUAGCCUACGACUCACUAAAUUCCCCAAAUUCCUCGCGGUUGCAACUCAAGGAUGUGCUCGAUUCUACCAUGCAGCAAUAAAAAAUUGGUUGGAACCGUCAAUAUACGCGUCAAAGAUAUCAACCAUCAUGUCAUGAUAAAUCCACAAUGGCCCAGUCUAAAGUUAAACAUGGAGCAAGAAGAUUAGAUCGACUCAUUUUUGAAUGGGAAGCAAUCCAAAAUUAAUCUGGUCUAACCCAACUCAAGAUUAUUGUCAUUAGGAUUGGAAAAUACGAUCUGUUUCGAAUAUGAAUUAGAUUUGGAUCCUUAAAUUCUCAGUCCAAACCUAAAUUGUCGCAAACUGAUUCAAAACUACUAUAUUAUAUAUUUCAAAAUCCUUCUUGAACAUAUCUAUAUAUAUAUAAUAGUCUUUUUAUCAUGAUAUGAAAUAUCGGUAGCUUAUAAUGUUGACUAUAUUUUUUUAAAAAAAAUCUUUUGGCCUCUUCUUUUUUGAUGCACCACGAUAUAAUAAUCGCUCAUAUAUCUCUAGUAGCUAGUCGUCUAGAAAAUGCAUCACGUGAUCCACACAUGAUAAAUUAAAAAUAAUUUUUAUAUUAAAAUAUUGUCGUUACUUAAGAAAAGAGAAAAAGAAAAAGAUGAAGUUGCUGAUUGAAUAUUGAGUCUGUCCUACCAUCUUAACUUCUUCAUUCGUUACUGUAAUACUCUAUCUAUCACAUUGCAUUGUAUUAGAUAAAUUAUCCCCACCAUUAUCAAUAUCACCAUCACCAUCUGUUGGGGAAAAAAUGGAUUGCUCAAGACACAUGGAUAUAUCGUCGGCACGUGAUGGCGAGCACGACAGUGGCAACCCUUAAGGCGCCCGACCAAGAGACGCCCGACCUCAGCGCGCCCGACCACAGAGCUUGCAGCCUUAAUCUCGGUUAAGCUGAGCCCGAUCGACCUCAAGCUCAAAGGAGAUCCAGUCAAAGGACGAAGCAGACCCCUCCACUCCACUGAAAAUCAAGUCCCCCUCCUCCUUAUCCGGGGUCCAAUCUCGCGAUCUCCGCCCCAGCGACUAUCAACGAUUAAAUGCGCACGAUCUCAAUGGACCUCCAGCCAGCCCAAAAUCUCGGACCAUCCACGGCAACUCAUUAAGUCAUACGAUCACGUCCAAUCAUUACGGUAACUCAUUAAUUCACACAGUCACGUCACAGGUAACCCAUACACCCCUCUUAUAAAAAGGAGAGACUUCUUCCUUCUGGGGAGAGAUCUUUUUUUUCGUAACCUCUCUACUGGUUCCACCAAAAAAACCCCUCUGACUUAAGCAUCGGAGGGUCGGCGCCAGAACUCCCGACCAUCGGCUUCUUGCAGGUUCCCCGAAGAAAGCUGUCCACCGCCGCACCCCCUGCCGGAGCUCCUCCUUCUUAGUCCGCGGUUACCCCCGAGUCAAGUUUCCAGCAACACCAUCCAUGUCAAAACUAAUCAAACUGGCAAUCCAAACUUGCCUCCAUCCAACAAAUAAGGAAAUAACCAAGCAGUUGGCGAGCUAGUGUAAUUCUUUCCAGGCCGCCCAUAUGUACCGGGAGACGAAUAGGGCGGCCGACUAGGUGGCCACCUAUGCCGCUCAGCACACCGAGGAGAUCCUUUGGACACGGGAGUUGGAUGCUUCUUCACCCUUGAGCAGUUUUCUUUUUUUUAAUUGUGCUGGUUAUACUCAUGCGAAAUUAAUGUGAGUUGCCGAUGUACCAAAAAAAAAAACGAACAAGCAAAUAAUCAAACAAGAAAAUAUCACCAGUAGCAUCGCAUUGGCCUGUCGCGCUUGCAACAUUGCCACCUCACCCUGCAACAAAGGAUAUGAGCUCAAUCUCAUAGUUCUGGUGCUCCAUAGGGUGCUGACCAUAUCCUCAGCCUGGCAAGCAUGAUAUGAGGACAGUCAUAUAGCCAUCGAGUUGAUCGCAAACCAACUUAGAUUGAUGUCAUUUUGCUAGAAAAUCCAUUUUUCCAUUUAUUGAAUAAGGAUCAAAACCCUACUUCCUUGGUGGCCUCUAAUUUCUUGAUGUUGGAGAGCGAAGGUGGAAGAAGAGACCCUAGCAAGCUAGAAUCGAAAUGAAGAAAAGGAAGAGCAUAGAUUAUGGAAAUAGAGAGAUUAUUUUUACCGUAAUUUUUAUUAAGGGAUAUUUUAGUCUUUGAAUGAAGAGGUUGAUGGACGCCAGUGUCAUAGUACACCAAAAAAUGAAGAUCAGAAAUUAAAUUGUAACUUUUAUAAACAAAGAAGGGUCAUGCGAAAAUGAUAAAAAUUGAGGCGGUCAAAAAGUAUUUUUCAUUGUAACCAUGUGUGAUUAUUAAUUUAAUCCUAUGUAAAAUAUAUUUUCAAUAACGUUUAGAUGUGUUAACUAUUAUCUUAUUGCAUGACAUGUUUCCAAUAUGAUUAGAUACCUGAUAUUAUAUGUUUACUAUAACUAGUGUUUGAAUUAUUUUUGACUCGAUUUGAUCCAAAAAAUCCGAUAGACUGAUAACAUCAAUUAUAGAAUUCAUCCGAUUCGAUCUCUAAGAAAAUCAGAUUAAAUUUGUAAUUUUUUUUAUUCAAUGCGAAUAUGAAGUGAAUUUGGAUUGUGCCUAUCCUCGAUCCAGUCCCGAGAUAGAGACAAAGCAUAUACGAAAAUUGAAAUGGCUGAAAAGGAGAGCCAACUAUAGGCUAAUAAAUGUACCUCUUUUUUUUUUUUUUUGUAGAAAAAAGGGGAAGAGGGGGGAAGGGCAAGCCCACCCCGCAUAGCAGCCCCACACUGGGCCCCCACCCCGCCAGGAGCAUGUUCGAUGCGGGCAGAAUGACCGUUUGGUAUAGGCCCAGCUCACCAGACCCCAGCCAUAUUUUACUCAUACCCUCCCCACCCGUGGCCCCGGCUCAGUUACCCCACUGGGCCCUGGCACGAGUAUCCCGUGUGAGUACGUCACACCUGGCACCACCCAGGCUACCAGCCGACCAGUAGCACUUCCAGACCCCGUGUCCAGGCGCGGGGCAUCCGGUCCCCAGAUUUAAUCGACGCCCGUGCGUUUCGAACCUGGAACCACUUGGUUAGAAGCAAACGCCCCGUUCCAACUGGGCUACCAUCUUGGUGGUAAUGUACCUUCUUCUCGCAAUAGCUUUUUAGACUUGGUUGAUAUGAAUUGCGAGAUGAUGAUAGCUUAGCUGAAAAUGUGACUCAACGUGGAAAAAUUGUAAUAGUUGGGACAAAGAAAAUAGCUUUGUUUUACGAGCAUGGAAGACCCAUAGAUUUUUUUUUUUCUUCUCUCUUAUUUCAGAAGAGGGAUGGGAUUUCAUCGAGAAAAUGAAGGAAAUAUAAAUUAUCCUGGUAGGAGACAGGUAAAAGCAAAAUCUAUGCAUGAAAAGAUUCAAUACGAAAGAAGAGGUGAUUGAACUAAAAGGCAAAACCGUUCCCUAAAAGAACCAAUAUCUCCUAGGACCAGAAAAUAUAGAUAGAUGGCUGAGCCAAUGAGCCAUAAAAAAUGGGAUGCAAAGUAACUACUCUCCAAAUCUUAUUUUAAGUUACUCUUUGAUUAUUGUGUUUUAUGUUUGAAUGUAUAUAUAGUUUUUCCUUAAUAAACUAAAUGUUUGGCUGAAAUUAAGGGAAGGUUUGGUAAGCUGAAAGAAGAAAAUUGAGAAGGAAAUUAAGAAAGACAUGUACUGCCGUCUUCAACGGCAUGCCUAUCCUUUAAAAUAGGAUAUUGAAUUCUAAACAUAUGAUUUCGAGUAUCCUGAUCAUUUGGAGACUUAUUAAUCUCAAACUUUCCAAGUGAGAAGGAUUUUUCCUUGAACCAUUUAGGGCAUGUUCGGCUUCUUGGGAAACAUCUUGGGAAGCUAAAGAAUUUGUAAAAUCCAAAUUUUCUAACCUGUUUAGAUGGUGCCGAGGCUAUAAUAAAAUGGAAAUAAAUUUUCUAGAUAUGGCUAGAUUUGUUUUCUUUUCUAAACAAUUUUUCCUUUCCCAUGGUUUUGUAAACAACCAACAUAUCUUUACUUAUUCUCAAUAAGUUUUCCUUUGAAGGGAUAUUCUACAUAUUUGCAGUAUCACUGUAUAUUUCAUAGGAAACCAUGGAGGACAACAUAUGUUUUACUCCAUGACCUCAUUCAAAAUCAUGAGCGCUUUGGCUGCAUUUGGUUCGCGAUUAGAAUCGGAAUCGAAAUAUAUUGAAAUAAAAAUAGAAUGGCCAUAUUCCCUGAUGCAUUUGGUUUGUGAUUGGAAUCGAAAUUGGAUUGCAAUCAAAAAUUAAUUAAAUAGAGAGGCAUUUUUGAAAAAUUAAUUAAAUGGAGGAAUAUUUUUGAAAAAUUAUUUUUUUAGUAAUAUAGUCGGGAUUGGAUUUUGGAGGAUUAGGACAUUCUCAUUCCAAUGGGAAUAAGAUUGGAGGAUUAGAGGAUAGGGUUGGAGGAUUAGGGCAUACUCAUUCCCUCCUAAAACGAAGUAUUAGAGUCUAGCAUAUCUAACAUAUGGCUUCCAAAAGAAAGCGGACUUCAGUAUGUACACAUGCUAGGAUCAAGUAUAGAUAAAUUCACUAGAUAACUUAUAACAGCAUCCAAACAGCCUUUUAAUUCACUCCAAGGGUAUGUUUGGUUCACGAUUGGAAUUGGAAUAUGAGUGGAUUGAAAUGGAAAUUGGAGUAGCCAUAUUUUCUAAUAUACUUGGUUCUAGAAUUGAAACCAAAAUUGGAAUGACGAUUAGGGCAUUUUUGGAAUAUCAAUUAAAUGAAAAGCUAUUUUUGAAAAAUUAAUUUUUAAAACAAACAUGACGAAUUGAAAUUUGAAUAAUGGCAAGAAAAUAGGAGUUAGAUUUUGGAGGAUUGGAGCAUUUCCAUUCUCCCCUGGAAUGGGAAUGGAAAUAGACCCCCUAGAAUGAGAAUGGAAAUGGAACUUCCUCUAACCAAAUAGCUCGAGUGAGAGCCAUUGAUUUCCAUAUUUUCAUUUUAGAGGCCAACUCUCUCCAACCAAACAUAUUCUAAUUGUAAAUCCACACACAACUCCUAACUCUCUACAGAACCAACGGCUCGUAGAUGGGAAAAUAAAAGGCACUUCAGGUGCAACACCUAAGAGCAACAAGGAUGUUUACUUCGAGUUCUUAAAGAAGUCGAAGGAGUUCGUUUCAUUUUUUAUUUGUAAAUUUAUGAUAUCUACACUCUAAUAUAAGUAAAAAUACUGAAUAAGAUGAUUUAGUUCUAUCUCCACAUAAGACUAACUAAUAAUGAUGAUAAUAUUUUGGACUAUUGAAUCGAGUUUUAAAUUAAAUUCCUUUAUUUGAUCAAAGUUAUCUUAAGCUGGUCCUACAACAAUCAAAUUCAAGUCUCACCUACGAGUUUGGAGUGAACCACAAUCCUGAAUCAUUUAGCUUAGGUCAAAAUAGGUGAAGUCCAUUGCGCAAAUCCUGUUUGAAUGUCCGAGGGCGGCCCAGGUGUGGCGGCUAGUUGGAGUUGAUUGGUAUUUCCUAUAGAUGUUGACCCCUGUCAGAGCUUUCUUUGCUCAUCUGAAGGGUACCUUGCAAUGACCCACAACUUUUGCCUGGAGCAUUAGAACCGUCUAUGUUGCUUACCAUAUUUGGCUGAAUAGGAAUGUUAGAGUUUUGAGGAUAGAAGGUUGAAUCUAAGGAUUGUUGUUGACAAGGCGCUUCUCCAUGCAACCGAGAUCAUUUAGACUCAGAACGUUGUAGAAUUUGGGAUUGCAAGGGAUAUAUGGGUCUUCCAUUUAGCUCUCUCAGCGAUCCAGAUGAUUUUUAUCUCCUAGGAGCCCCCAUCCCUGAGCUUUCUUAAGGUAAACUUAGAUGGUAGUGUGUUUGAUGAUGGAAGAAGAGGCGGUGCUGGUUUUGUGAUUAGGAACCCUAACUCCAAAUUUAUGGUGGCCGGAGGUAGUCGAAUCUACGACACUUCUGUCCAUGGAGUUGAGCUAAGGGACGCUUCAAAACGCAUCACCCAUGCAAGGUUCACCUUGGGGGCAAAUCACAUUCAUCUCGAAGAGGAUUUAGCUACGGUGAUUAAGUGAAUCCAGGGCCAGUCUAGGGGCGACAAACACUUGCUAAUAUAGGAUAUUUGCUGGUUAUUGAGGGAUUGUGUUGCCUCCCGAGUUACCCAUAUAUACUCGGAGGCUAAUAGGGUAACUGAUUGAGUUGCUUCAUGUGAUGACCCGUGUGGGCGUGUAUUUAGUUUCAUAUUGGUUAUUCACUGGAUAAAUUUUGGGUACUUAUAUAGGAUCAAGAAACCUAAAUAAUACAUUUUGGCUAGCCUUUUUGGGUGAGAUGCUAGGUUGUAACAAAUGGUAUCACAACAGACUCAGCCUAUGGCCUAUGUGGAUUAGAGGACACUGCAGCACGAGUAUAUUUGCGUUGACCAUAAGUUGAUCGUAGUGUUUGUGAUUGGAUUUGAAUGGAUUUGGAUUCUUAGCCUAAGGAGGAUGUCAAAGCUUAAAUAGGGGAGUAUGUGAUGACCCAUGCCGGGGUGUGUUUAAUCUCAUAUUUGUUAUUUGUUGGUUCGAUCUUGAGUACUUAUACAGGAUCAGAAAACCUAAAUAAUACCUUUCGGCUAACCUUUUUAGGUGAGGUCAUGAGUUGUGACAUUUCAUAUGUAGCCAGCACUCCGGUGUCUUCAUGUAAACAGUUAUGAGACUUCCCCUCCCCCCCCCCCCCGUAUUCUCUUUUCUGACUUUCUUAGAUGUAUGCAUACUGGAAUUGUAUGAUUUAUCUAGUUUAUCAAAAAAAGAUAAAAGCUCUUGGUUGGUUGUAAUAUUAGAAGCAUGUGAAGUACAGUAAGGUAUUAAUCCACAACAUUAAGAUCCAAACAAGCUUAGGAAAAUGCUCUGAUGAAGAGACUGUGUGCACUAAGUUCAUCAGACAUGCGUCGGGAUGGUUUUUACCAACGCAUAAAAGCGUCGCUAAUGCCCAAUUUUAUUGUAGUGCUAUUGCUGGCUUGGCAAAUUCAAAUAUCCUCCAUGCAUCACACUAUUUCCAGUGAGUGACCUCCAAGUCCCCCUUACCACCUGAGGAUAGGAAUUUUUAACAUGAUCCAUAGUGAUCGACCAGUGAACCCCAUGGUUUCAGCUGAAGAAGACUCCACAUCCACUCCAAAGGCUGCACUUGGGAUCAGCAGGGUCAGGGACAGUGGAACCUUAUCCUAGGGUUCCAACGAGGUCAAAUCCUCACAAGUCAAAUCCACGGAUUUCUAUGGUAUGGAAUUAAGUUGGGUUUACCGUAACAGCCGCCAGUAUUAUCCAUUUCCAUGCAACGAGAACAAAUGGGUCCUUGGAGUAAGUUUGAACAACCAUCACUCACCGCCGGCUUCUCACGACUAGUUUUAGUAAAAGUGUAAAACCCCACAAGCCAGGCCACACGUUUCUUUCAAAUCCCAUGUACCGUUACAAGUUCUCUAUUUCCACUUCGUUAGCAUAUGCUUUACGUUACUACACAUCCUAGAAAUAACAUCAAGUAAAAUAAACCCAACCUUUUAAAACACUUCAAGACUGCAGCCAUUCAUUAAACGAUAGACAUGUCAAAAGACUAGUGUGGCUAAGCAUGUGGAGAGAGACAUCCAUGCUUCGGAAUAUUCGGACUAUGAUGAGUGAUGGUACAGUCUUUCAGGCUAAGCGUGUGCUCGGAAGGGCUAAUAGAACCGCAAACUGGAUAGGGCCAGAAAGUGAAGCUGCCUACAGCACUCCGAGAUUUGUUGUUUUUUGAUUUUUAUUGAGUGUAUCCAUAAACUAUAUAAACCAUCUGUUUUAGAAAGAAAAAAAAAUGACGACUAGUGUGCCUAUGAAGCUCAUACCUCAGCCUCUGAGUCCAUAGAAGCUAUGCUAAAGGUGUGUUCUAGUGGGAGAUCCAUUCAGUUUUCUUUUGGGUUGCCGAAGGUGAUUCAUAUGGUUCAUGCCCUUCUAAUGUUUUGCUAAUGGAAUCAACUGCAAGCAUGUUUUUGAGUUCUAGCACUUUUGCCUUCUAUAGUGUUAAAGAGUUAAAGAUGGAAAAAGAACCCUUCCACUAGGUAUCAACCAUGCAUGUUGCCAGUCUCGGUGCCCAAUGUGCAGCACUAUUUUGAGUCCCUGUCACCAGGAAAAUCCUAGGUAUGCCUUUUUCCUUCAAUAUUGUAAGAUGCUUUGCUCCACCAAUGGUUGAAGUCUGUUUAGGUAGGGAUCUUUUUACCACACACUCAAUUAACCACAUGAGAAGAAGAAGCAACUUCUGUGGUGGGAUGGCCUUACAAGUGAAGCAUGUGUACAGAAAGACCACUAGAGCAGCGAAUUGAGUGGCCUCGUAUGUGGCCAACCACUCCAGGGAUACUCUUUAGAUUGGGGAGAGAGAGUUGUCUGGUGCACUUCGGGACUUGUUAUUUUUUUGACUUUUUUGGCUGUAUCCAUACUCGUGUUGUAUGAUACAUCUGGUUUAGCCAAAAAAAAAAAAAGAAGAAGCGACUAGGAUCGAAGCAUCUUUUCCUUCUCUUUUAGAGAAAGCAGGUCACCUAGUCAGGCAAGUAAUUAGGUUGCAGAAACAUGGGAAGCCUUAAUACUCCUGCCACAAGCCCAUAAAUCCAGUCAUAUCUCAUGGUCACAUCCUCACUAGCUUCUUAUACUUAUUAUUGGUCGAAGUUAUACAUUGAUUCUUAGCUAACCAAGAAAACGAGGGGGGGAAAUUAUUGUAACUCAAGCAAAUUUAUGUAAUAUGUAGAGAUGGAUGACUAUGUUGGCCCAAGAAACUUCUGUAACAAUAGAUGCCUCGAAGCAUUUCCAAAAAAAUUAAGUGAUACUUCGAUUAAAUCAAAUUCAUAAAAUCACAACAAAGUCCAGAUUACAAGCACGAGAAAUUGGAAUACCAAGAGAGUGCCAUUAAUGAAUGCUACGAGUCACUUGAUAAGAAUAAAUGCCCUGAUUAUCUCCAAUGACUUAUCGGCUGUGAAGGGAUUAGACUUCCACAUAUUUGUUUGUGACAACAUUGGCUUCCCCUCAUGCAUGACUAAAAGAAAUCUCUGCCAUUAACACAAUGGCAGAAGAACUGAUGCCGCAUAUAAUCUCAUUAAUGGUGGAGAUGGAGAUUCGUAAGUGAUUUGUUUGUUUUUUUUUUUUUGAAAAUUUCAUAUAAAUAUAUUUGGCACUCAAAACAUCUAAUUAGUUAUAGUUAAAUAACCAACAAAAGCAAAACAUGUCAGUGAUUAAUAAUGAUGGAGUCAUGUUCAUAGAUGCCUUAGGAGCAUAUUCCAGCAUUUGCAAUCAUGGUAUUUGGUAAAUAAUGCAUAAUUUGCAAACAACUUGAGCACCACACGAGAUUGCACCUUGAAUUCAAUUUCCAACAUACUGAUCAAUGGAUCUUGCGCAUGGAUAUUACGACACAAUUCAGAUGGAAAUUUAAGUUGGCAUUCCCAACAUUCAGAACAGUGAAACAUCCCACUACUCUUACCAGUGUUUAAAACCAUAUCAUUAACCAUGUUUUUACUAAAGCUAUAACAAAGAAAGUUUGCUUGUAACAUUCCUUGGGAUCAAUUUUAGCACUGCGAUAGUAACCUGUGGUUUCCCGUAAAGAUUACUAGCAUAAGACCGAGAUCGAGCAGAAUUUUAUCUCUUAAAUUAACCUAUUAGCACAUUAAUAAUUCAUCCGACCAUUGUCAUAUUAUUCGAUGCAGGAGCUAAACAGGUCCUAAGGUAUCAUAAUUAGGUUUUCCUAGCCAGCAAACAGAUACAUGACACCAUCUUCAGGAAAAUAAUUAGCAAUCAGGCAGCACCAUCAAAUAUUCCAGUGCCCAUGCUUAACAAGGCCUUUUAAUUUUAUAAAUUCAGAGUUUGGAUGCAGAGAAACCUGCCUCACGUGUUGAUAGUUCCACGGAGGACUCAAAACCUACCACAAAGUACCAUAACAUUAGGCUCCAUCCAACGUCAAUAUAUAAAACCAAGCAUGCUAUGACAUUUUAAACUAGCACUAGCACUUAGUCUGGUUUUAGACUUUUAGUCCUUGGAAACAAAAAGUUCUACCUGCUGCGUUUGCAAGCAGCAAGCCAUCAGCCCAUGGCAUACUUCUGAGUCCAUGCUCUGGCUGUCUCCUCGUAACGGGAUCUCUGAUUCUUGUAAAUAUGGGCAAUCUCAGGGACAAGAGGGUCGUCUGGGUUCGGGUCAGUGAGAAGAGAGCAGAUGGAAAGGAGAACCUUUGAAAUGGUCAGAGCAGGGCUCCACUGUUCCUUGAGGAUGUCGAGGCAUAUGCUGCCAUUGGAGUUGAUGUUUGGGUGGUAAACCUGCUCAGAUAGAUGAAGGCCCAUCAUCCAUAUUUGUGAAAGCAGUUCAUAUUUCUUCAGAUAACAGGAAGCAGAUUUCAGUGAUCAAUCAGCAUACAUGUUGCUAAUUAUACAAAUAAUACAAAUGGAAGAAUUCUUUGAAGGCACAAAUUUAUUAGCCUGAUGUAGAUAUGUUGUAUCGGUAGGAACAAAAGAUGUAGUGACUGACUUGCAAGUUUUUUUAGUACAAGAGCAUAAUCAUCUAUACGAUUAAGAAAAUAUAAGCCACGACAGCAAAUCAGCAAUUUGAAUGUUCUAAAGUGGAAUGAGGCCAUCAUUUAUACAUUUUGGCAAAAAGAAUUAAUUCCUAAAAUACAUUAUAAUAUUCAAGGGUGGACCAAGAAAAUUCUUGGCUAAAACCUAGUAACAAGGAAAAUCAAGAUCAUCCAUGUCAUACUAGAGUAGUUCAAAGACGAACAAUAUUUAAAAGCAUGCAGAUCUAAUCAGCUCCAUGCUCCCUUGGAAAAUCACCUCAAAGAUAUAAUACUACAUUAAACAUUUAAAGGCCGUCUUCAGAAAAUCCUGUUUUAUGAACUAUUUUUAAUCUAGUAGGAAAAAGGAACUUUGUACAACCCAAACUGAAUGCUCUGUUCUCUCAGACAUGGAAGAGCUCAAAAAAGUAUAUGAAACUCUUGUUACAACAGAGAUCCAAAAUUAGACCCAAGAUGCAAGGCAUGUAGUUCUGUAUAAUAUGCUAGCAGAAGUAAAUACCUAAAAUGUGAAAUAUGAAAAGGGAAGCAUGCCUCUAGAGCAUUAGCAAGGUAAGCCUCCAGCACAUUAUUUACUUUUAUCAUUUUAUUUGGUAACUACCUGUAUGCAGAGCAUAAGAUUCCAAUAAAAACUAUCUUAAAUAAUAAAAUUCAACCACCGCCAACAAGUUCUAAAACUAAAUUAACUUAUUAAGAAAAAAGUCUUUAAUAAUUUUGAAUUUCACUAUUUGAUAUAAUAAAAAUUAGUACCAACGCCACCUCUAUCCCAUGCCAGUAGUUUCCUGAAUCAGAAAGCUAGCAAUAUAGUUUGCACUUCUAUAAUCUACUGAGAUUCCGAGGGAAAGCACAUGUACAAAUAAUAUCUGGAAUCAAGCAUCAUCUUUAGAAACAAAAAAUGUUAUGGAAAAUCAAAAAUGAUAUGAGGUUUUCUUACCUUAGUCUGAAAGUUGACCUUUGGAGGCUUAAAUGGAUAGUCAGGUGGGAAAUGAAUCAUAACAAAGAACACUCCUCCAGCAUAGGGGCUCUCUGCAGGACCCAUGAUUGUUGCUUGCCAGUGGAACAGAUCCUCCCCAGCAGGCCCUGCACUGCAUGAUGUUGGAGGAUCUCUUUGCAGAUCCUGAAGCUCCUUCUGAAUACGUUUGUUAGCCAUAAUGCCUCCUAAUUCAAAUAUAGGGAAUAACAACAAUAAGAAAUAACUUUCGAGGUUAUAACUACAGGGAUAAAACUGCAAACAUACACAGAAUUCCCAGUUCCAGUAUAUGACUCCAAGAACAAUGCUAGCUAGAAUAACACCACUCUCAUACAGAAAAGAUACACAGUGGAGAUGCGACUGUCAUGUCGCUAUUCCUGGCAUCCUGUAAGAUAUUGGGUACUGGUUGCCAGUGAAGGACAAAAUGAAAAGUUGUGCAUCAACCAUGCAAGUUUUCUGUAAGAGAUUUCUGUCUUAAUGAAGCAUUUCCAAUGAUGUCACAGUGAGUAAACACACAUGUUGCACAUCAGAAAUAAACCACAUCCAAAAGAAACCAUGACUGAAGCCAAUGAACAAUGAAUUAGAUCAGACUGUGUCUAAAUAGAAUAUAUAAUCAAUUCAUAACUAAAAGUGAUAAGUGUAUUUUUUUCUUUAAAAGAAAGUGUUGAUAUUAAACAGAAGCUCUGCCAUACAAAUUUUCUACUGAUACUUGGGAGAAGUUCACAAGAUAUACAGCAUAGGCGACCCGUAAUUGUUAACCAGUCUCUAAGGAUGACUGAAUAGUUAACAAUUUCCCUUCACGAUAAAUCUAAAUAAAAGAAUCAAAUAAAUAAAUAAAUACAAUCAUAAAAAGGAGGAAAGGGGGGAAAAUGAAUGAUGGUAGACUGUAGAUUGCCAAAACUUUAUCAAUUUUGAAACAAGGAAACUUCACUAGAUUUACUUAAGGACAGUCAGCCACAUAUGAUGAACACAUCAACUAAACCAUAUAGAAUGUCCUAAGAUAGCAAUAAUUAUUUCACAGACUACAAUCAUUUGUCAUGUCCAGAAUUAACAUGCAUUCUCCCCUUAAUUCAAGUGAGGAAGAGCCUCAGUGCCCCACCAAUAACCAGCCAUAAUAAUUUCGUAUAAAGAAGAAAGACCCCCAGGGUAACCACAUAACUUCCCUGAUCUACCCUAACUUAAAAUAUGGACCAAUAUGCCAAAUCAGUUAUUAUGGCACACUAAAUGGAACCAUUCAAACAAGCAUAAAUCAAUGAUUUUAUACAUAUUAACAACUCCUGAAAGCAGUAAGAUUCACAAAAACUCCACAGGAACUGAAUAUCAGCAAAUUCCCCCAAUUAUUCACUUUGGCUUGCCCUUCUCUGUCCAAUUUAACCUCUGAAAAUUGGUUUUAUAGACGAUUUAAUUAGACUGCCUCAUAAGGGAAGAGCAAGGCACCAACAAGGGUCUUGAAGUUGAAGCAUUAGAAACCUUUACCUAGUUGUCUUCUUCAGCAUAAAGCUAAUAUGGUGGCCUUGUGGAGGUACAUGUAUUGUGCCUUUCAAAAUGCAGACCACCCUACUCAUCAAUCAUUUGAGGUCAGCCCAAUACACAAUGGGUUGCAGAAUUACAAUCAAUGUAAUAACUUGAAGCCAGACCCUAUAAGAAGACAGGCCUAAAUCACGGACCUGAAUGAACUUCUAAAUGUUGCUAUCUAAUGCUGUUAAGAAAUCAGCCCUGAUGAUAUAUAUGGGAUGCAUAUAGUAAAAUAUGGGUGAUCAAAAAAUUUAAUGCAAAGGAAAUAACUAAACUAAUAUGUUCAUGCUGCUGAACUGCUGAGAUCAGAUAUUCUGGUGGUAAAAAAAUAAAAACUCUAACCAUAAAAUAUUCAAAGAUAAGCCCAAGAUAAAGACUACACCACAGUAAACAGAGGCCAUAGCGGUGUAACCCUGAUGGAUGUUAGAAAUGAAGUUUGAUCUGAUUCAUGUGCAAUCUUAGAGCUCUUCUCUCAGCUGCUAGCUUGAAACAUGCUCAGAUCAUUGUCAGAUCUGAUAAACACCAAUAAUAAUGCUGUUGUUUGUCAGCAAGAAAGUAACAAAAUUAAUGAAAGAGGAAGAGAAAGAGACAAAGAUACCAUAAGAAAAAGGAGAACAAUCUAAGAAAUCAGAAGAACAAGAGGAAGUUUACUACUUUAGUUAGGACUAGAACCUAAACAAGCAGGCCAAUAGAGCCUGAUAAUAGGCUUGAGGCCCUGUUUGGAAUUGCUAUUGGAAGUAGAACUUCAAGCAGUAGAAUUUUUAACAAAAAGUUGUUCGUUGUUUAAUAACUACAUUUCUAGAGUGUAGUGAAACUUAUACAUCUGUUUGGUAACUAAAUUGAAAAUGUACUUUUAGUAUGACGAAAUUAACAAUAAAGGGGACUACAUAGUAUUUUAUAUUAUAGUAUAAUAUAAAUAUAAUAUAGUAAUAUAUUAUUACAUAGUAUAAUAUUAUUAUAAUGUAAUAUAUUAUUAUAAUGUAAUAUAUUAUUAUAAUAUUAUGUAAUAUAAUAUUAUAAUAAUAUUAUGUGAUUAUAAUAUAAUAUAAUGUAAUGUAAUUAUGUGAUUUGUUCAGUGAUUUGUUUAUGGGCAUUUUGUUCCCUACAAAAUUUUAAUUAAAUGAAAAAUAACUUCCCAACAUCAGCCAAGUAGAGCUAUUGGAGAACCAAAAGGCACUUCUCUCUCUCUCUCNNNNNNNNNNNNNNNNNNNNCUCUCUCUCUCUCUCUCUCUCUCUCUCUCUCUCUCUCUCUCUCUCUCUUAACAAACACCACCUAUUCCCUGAAAGUACUUUCUACCUUCCAAAAAACACUUUCCAGCCCUCAAAAGAUGUUCCCAAUCAGGGCCAAAGUGAUUAUAACUUCUAACCUACUAACACCAUCUAAUGAGGAAAUAGCAUAAGACCAAGCAACACCUAAAACCCUGGCCAUAUUUUUGAAUAGUAAAGGCCAGACAUAACACCCCCUUUUAAUGGCCUUCUGCUGCUCCUAACUGCACCACCUAGCCAAGACCUCUCUGAUGCACUAGUAAUUUUAGCACCUCUUCACUAAUCUGCAGAUCCUCUCAAGUCAUGAGUUAGGCUUAGGGUUUUGAUAGUCAAGUAAUGGUUUAAGUUUUAUGUAGGCAAACAGAUGGAUCCCAAGCUCAUCUACCAGGUCAUAUUAGGAGAUUCUGAAGGUCUUGAUAAGCAUUAGGGUUUUCUAGGCAGAAGUUAAUGAGGGUUUCAAGCUUGAAAAACAAAUGAUGAUGGGUUUGGAAUCAAACAACAGCUGUACUGACAUGGAAAACAAACCACCUGCUGAUAACAGAUCCAUACUUAGCUGCAAUGGAUGGAGUGAUGUGAGCAACAGACCAGCUUGCUGAUCGAAGAUCUGUACUUAGUUGUAGACUAGUCACGAUUAGUAAGCUGAGGACUCUAUAAAGAGCUGAGUAUUGAGAUAGACAUGUUUAUAGACAAUUAAGAGAUUGAUUUGAGCAUCAGAAAGGCCCUAUAGGGGCUGCUUGAAGAGCAGAUCAAGCCAGUAUAAUCAAAUCUGAGCUAAGUUGGACCAGAAACCCUUAUUCAGACUGGUGGCUGCUUCCGAUAGUUGAGGCUAUAUACAUGUAGAACUUAAAGCAGAUUUACGCCGGUUGGGUGCAGAAAAGAGAAAAAGAAUAGAAAAUAUUCUAAGAAGGGGAGGAAGAAAGAAGACUUGCUCCAGACUCCCCAUCUUCAUAAAGCCCCUAAGUUGGUUCAAACUUGAAAUUAAUUUCCAAGGAAUCAAAACAUUAAAGAAAGUAAUAUGUAGCCUCUUCAUAACAAAUACAAAGGUCAACUCAUCCCAACAACUUUGUCAAUAUUCAUCCAACAUCUUUAAUAUGUCCCGAAAUCAUGGCAGACUCCAUGAGGACUACUACAGCUAAUUGAUAUGACCUGAAUAUGUGGUGGACUCUACAAGUCCUACUGCAGCAUAUUGACAUGCCCUAUCUCCCUUGGCAACCAUGACAUUCAAUAUGAACCUGCUAGCAUGGUCACUUUAUAGUCCAAUUUCAUGAUAUAGUCACCUGCAAUAAGACCUGUAUUACACCUACUAUUAACGACAAAAUGCAAUUUCCCCAGUUGCUUGGAACGGAAGAUCUAGUCAUCGAGCCUCUGUUGGUUUUGAUUCAACUGACACUGACAUAUUUUAAGCCAUCAAUCGACAUCCAUUUUCUACAUGCUAAGCCUGCUGCCCUUUACUUCAUUAUCAUCCCACCCAUCUUUCUUCAAAAUUCUGAAGAACUAGAAGUUCUUAGCACAGAUAAAAGCACAGAAUCCCAAUACGCUAUUAAGGACACCCACUUAUAACCAAAAGCUGAUCAUGCUUGAGUAAAUCUUUUCAAUUCCAUCACAACAAUAAUUACAAAGAAGGAACAGGCAAAAGAAUCCCAAAUCGCUAUACCCAGUACUCAUAAUAAUAUAUCACCAAAAUACAUAUAUAUUUGCAUCAAAAAUAGCCGAAUCUAACUUAGUCACGAAAUACAUAUAGAUUUAAGCAGAAAAAAAGUCUGAAUAAUAUAUAACACGAAGAGUUGGACAUCUGGAAUCAAAAGCCGACCCGAAUCACAAAAUCGACCGCUUAAAUCGAAGAUCGAAGG